AUAUGACUUAGACAUCUAUAUGGUUCAGUAUUUUAUUAUGUUUAAUUAUUCAAGAUUUCAGUUGGUUUUCCGAAUGAGAUAAAGAUUUCUGGAUUUUUGUAAAAAGGAAAGGUUUUCUACCCUUCGUGGUAGCGUGUUUUCAAAAGAAAAGGUUUUCGUCUGGGAAACAGCUUUCAAAAGAGUUUUCUCGUGGUUUUCUUGACUUAGUAUUUCAAAAUAAGUUUUCGGGUAUGAAACGUUUUAAUUGAUAGUUGUGGAUUUAUAUUCAGAUCUCUGUUUAUGAACCUGUGGUGAAUGGUGUAUGGAUAUUGAAUGUAUGAUGACUUGUAUAUUCAUUUAGUUGUGGUUGUAUCCUGUUUUAUAUCUUGUACUUGUGCGACGCCAUGCAAAUACAGGGGAGACUCUGUUCGUGUGAACAGUAGAAUCUCUGUAUUUGUGGCGGAUCUGGCAUACCCUGAGGUCAUAUUUUCAAAAAAAAAAAAAUUCUAAUCACUUCCGCUAUAUUUUCAAACUAAAAGGGACCCCGGGGCAUGACACGCCGAGUUCUCUUUUGCUGGAUCUGAAGCUGGUUGGGUUCGUCUUGCGCUACCUUGGAAGCAUGCCGACGAGGUGCAACGUAGUCGUUGUAUCGCUAGGAGUAAUUAUCGGGAAGCCUCGCACGUGGAGAGGGCAAUUUCGCUUUUAGGACAGUGCUCUGCACGCCUCGAUCCACAGGCCUUAUCUAAACCUUUUUUUUACCGCCACUACAACAAAAUUGCUUUUUAGCGGCAAUUUAAUAGCGGUGAUUAUCAAACGGCCACUAUUACUAUUAUCUUACAGUACUUUAGCGGCAAUUGUUUUAAAAAAUAUAUUUUUAUCGACUAAUAUUUAUAUAUUAAAUAUAAUCUAACCCAAUCUCAACCCGAUUCCAACCCAACCCAACCUCAACCCUAUUCCAACCCAACCGCCUGAUUCGCUCGUGAGCGACCUAUUCUCUCUCUGCCCUUAACCUCUCUUCGAGCUCCGAUCUUCUCGGCCCCGACCUCUGAGCUCAGAGAAGACGCAAUUUAAUGGCGUCUUCUCCGAGCUCCGAUCCCAAUCUUCUCGGGCCCGAGUGCUUCAAGAAGAUCUGCCACCGACGGUGUCGCCCUCGGCCUCCACCUCCACGAGCGCGGCGGCGCUCCGACGACCUAGAUCACGGACCCCUAGAGCUUGCGCACGGUUAAGCUCGCGAUGAGGGCCACGGCGAGGAUCAGGAUCACCCACUUGACCAGAGCCCCGAAUCUCCACCGCUGAUGCCGAUUCGCCUUCGCGUUGAUCUACUGCUCCUUGUAGAUCUCCUCAUCCUCCUCUUCCUCGUCGUCCGCGUCAAGUAACGGCGUUUUGGGGGUGCCCAGGGAUGCCCUAGGGUUUGGGUAGGUCGAGCUCGGGGUCGGGGCCGCCGUGGAGGAGUGGGGAGGGUGAUCACCAAAGCGGGAUUUGGGCUUGGAGAUGGAUCUGCGGCGGAUUACGGUUUUGGGAUUGGGGGGUCACGAGGGGCUUUCUAGGGCUCGGCGCCUUGGCGAUCUCCGGGGAGGGGUUUCCGACGUGCGGGGGCGAUGAUUUCGGUGGCGAAUCCUCGAAACCUUUGACAUUAGCAGAAGAAGUCGGCGCCGACUUUGCUGCUGCUGCUGCUUCGCCGUUUUGGAUUACGACGACGACUUCGCCUUGCUUUCGAUCAAUGCUGUUGUCUUUGUGAGUAUCGUCGUCCAUGGCCAAUGAAAGAGACAAAAAAAAACCCAAAAAAAAAUAAUCCUUGAGAAGCGCUUCUGAGUAGUAGAUUUUUUAGAGAAGUGCUUCUACAUUUUGAUGAUCAGCUCCUUUUUUUACAGUGGCCAAUUUAUUCAGGACAUUCGAUCACAGUUGGAAAAUGACUUCAUGAAAUCACUGCAGGCUGAGGUUCUAUUUAAAUAUUGCUUGAUAAAUUAGUAGUAUUUACGUGCUCUUUUCUAACUUUCAGCCAUUCUAAUUGUUUACAGGUAACAGAUGAUUAUGAAGCGGAAGCUAUUAGACCAUUGUCAUGGUAUCCAGGGAACGUUGCGCGGCAUUUGAACUUUUCUCGUAUGCAACUUAGAAAGAACCAGGCACUUGAGAGGUAAUUUGUAACGUAUCGAAACCCGAAAACGAUAAUCGAACUUUAAUCAAAUUUGUUAAAGUGUCGAGAGAAACGGAUUGGUGAGUUCCAUUUUGCAUUCCAACAAGGUUGGAAGGACAAAAAUGAGUUUAAGAAGUGUUGGAAUGGUUUUGGCAUCGAAUGGCGCGAAGUUGAGUCGAAUCGAAGCCUAAAACAGCAUUCUGGAGCUGUUGUACCGGUACAAGGUGAUGGUUGUACCGGUACAACCAGCGCAAUUCGAGCUGAGUAGCUCUCGGGUUGGUGCAGUCCAGGCCUUGUACCGGUACAAGACCCCUUGUACCGGUACAGACCCUGCGCACCCGAGAGGCAGCUCUCUGGUUUGGCUCACUGUUUGGCCUUGUACCUGUACAAGAAUCCUUGUACCGGUACAAGAGGCCCCGGACAGCAUUUUGAAGUCUGAUGCAAAUAAGACUUUGUGGGGGGUUUGUUCGCAAUUGUUGCAACAUUUUAUGAGCCUAAGCCCUCUCCCUUUCACAGCACACUCUCAAACACACUCUCUCUCUCUUAUUUAUCUCUUUCUCUCUCUAGAAAAACCCUAGGGCUUGGUGGAGAAGGUGGAGAAGAAGAAGAAGAAGUUGGAUUUUGGAGGCUUGGAGGCUUUGGUGGCUCUCCAACAAGGUGGAUUUUGGUGAGCUCGUGGCUAAGGUGAGUUUAUUGCACAAGAGAGUCUAGGGUUUGGUUUUAAACCUUGGGAUUUAGAGUUUUGAUCCUCUAAUUAACCUAGAAAUCCUCUAAAGACCAUAACUCCAUGAAAAACAUGGAUUUCUUGGACCCCUCUCAUGGUGGAUCACUAGGGCUCAAAGUAGAUGCCCUAGGGAUGGUUCUAAAAGUUUAGAAACCUUAUUAGAGAGCUUCCCAAGUGAUUCUAAACUUUCUUUUGCUUAGCAAUGAGAUCAAUCUAGGAGAAAUGCAAAAAUGGCUCGUUAGGGCAUCCCAAAAAGGGGUUUUGCCCAAGUUGGGUUUUGAUCUAUUUUGAUCAUGCGGAAACCCAAUUGAGGGUAUUUUAAACGCGUUGGAAUGCUCGGUUCGACAAUCCGACGAGUGUAUGCAAAGUUAUUAACAAAAAUAUCAUUUUCCGUACAGAUAGCCGCAGCACGCGGAUUAGGGCUUCAAAAAUUCCAAGAAAUUCACCGAAGUAUCCUUGUAACCAUCUAAGGUGGGUGGUGCAUUCCAAGGACAUCGGAAAUCUCUCUAUGUCUAAGUGUCAUAUUUUGAGCAUAUGUGCAUUUUUGAGCAUCUUGCAUAAUAGGGUUAAUUGUGAGUUUUGCUAUAGCCUAAUGUAAAUUCAAAUGCAUGUUAAAUGUUUGUAAGAGUGUGAGAAUGAUGAUCCCUAUGUAUGCAUGAUUGUGACAAGAACCUAGAAGGGUUAGUAAACGAAAAGUGACACUUGACAUAGAUCUAGCAAGUGACAUCGACGAGUCUAGAAUCCUUAGUAAACAAGUGUGGCAUUUUGCAUGAGGACAAGAAUCUAGAACUUAGAGAACAAGUGUGGCAUGAGUUCAAGAACUCGAUAGUGUAUAUGACAUUAGAGAUAGUAAGGAAUGCAAGAACAAGAACGAUUGAGAUAUUUUGACAUUCAACCUUAGUGUUAAGGGUCAUUUGAGCAUAGUCUUCCUUAAAGUUAAGGAAUGGAUUGAACUUGGAAUCCUCAAAUGUAGGAUUGAUCGUACUCACUUUAGUCCUUGCUCGAGGUUGUGGUAGCUCCCCCUCGGGCGAUGUGCUCCGGAGUCGACAUCACUGGGUUGUAGCGGGUAUCUCCCCAGAGGACGGUCCCAUCGGGUUGUAGCGGGUAUCUCCCCGAUUAUUGGGAUUUUGAGUUGGUGAGUUUGUUGAGGGCGAAACCUACGGGUUAGCCAAGAGAUUGGGUAUUGACACUAUGACCUUGCAUUCAUCAUGAGCAUUAUAUUGUGCACAUCAUUUUAUAUUGUUCAGGCAUAUUAGUUGCAUUUGCUAGUUGGUUACUUACUUUCCUUUAUUCUAUUAUGCCUGAUUAGACCUAGUGGGAUAGUCGGCGUGGUUAGUUGUCGAACCCACUGGAAACUUUGUUGUAGUUCUCACACCCCUAUUUCCACAGAGCCGGGACCCAGCGAGCCGGCAGACAAUCACGGUAAGGGCAUCGCGUCCUAGGUAGAGACCGCCUGAGACAUUUAUCUAUUGUAGUUGCAUACCCCUUUUGUUAUAUGUCAUCUUUUGUACUUGAUGAUUUAGUUGUUAAAGAAAAGAACAUGUAUGUUGUGAAAGAUCUUUACAUUUAAAUACAAGAAUGAUAUUUUGAGAUCCUGUGAUGUAAAAGUAAAGAAAUGAUGAAAAAAUGUAAUCGAUCCCUUAAGUGUAGUUGUUUACUUUCACUCUUGGCUAUUGCUUGCCCUCGUGCAAGCCAUUGUGUAUGCUUUCGCUUAUGCAAUUUCUAUACUCUAUCUGUACCUGUUGUUGAGCCUUGGGCGGACAGGGGAGGCUCUGUCCGUUUGGCGUCUGUUUCACGCUCUCGAACCGGCCAUAAAGGAUCGGGCUCGGGGCGUGACAUAAUUGUUAUUGAGUAGACUAUUUUUAUGCCAAUUGAAGUACAGUACCACGAAAGGAAUUUACAAGAUUUUCUUUUAAUGCUUCAUUUGGACGAUAUGUAUUUUUAGUUGUACUGCUCUCUAUUCAUUUGGACUAAUGUAGAUUUUCUUACAUUGCACUGAUACUUUAUGAGCACCAAUUUUGGGAUGAUUAUUUUUGUGUCAUUCUUGUGAAUGUGAAAUUUUAUUGUAAAUUGGCUAUUGUCUAUUUUGUUAGUCUUGUUUAAUUAUGCUACUUAAUGGCGAAUUCCAGGUUCCAUGAGUUUUUAAAGCAAGAGAAUGAGAUUGGAAACAUAACAAGGCAAGAGGCUGUCAGCAUGGUGGGCAUCUUCAAAUGGAUCUGUUCAAGAAGCUAUUAUAUUUUUAGUAUUCGUAGUACUUUAUUAUAGAGCUUAUAAUUAUUUUAAAAUGUUUGCUGCAGGUUCCUCCACUUUUCCUUGAUGUACUACUGGAUCUCUAUUCUUGACAGUAUGUUCUAUCUAUUCAUCAGACAUCUUACAUUUUAGUCUUCCAAAUGCAAUCCAAAUUAUUACAAAUUAUUACAAUCUUAUUCUUUUUCGUUUCCUUACAUUCCUAAGUAGCUGACUCAGGAUACCGCUAUCUCUGGUCUCGGUGGUAGGGCACUAACUACGGAGCUACGCCCUUUCCUCGCGCCACCGCGCCGCUCGCGUGUGAACCUGUACCCCUAAAAACAACACGGGGGGUGAGAACUAUAUAAAUAUAGUUUCCAGUGGGUACAGCCACCCAAGGGAAAAGCUCGACCCACGACGUCCAAGGAGGCACUACAAUCAUGUUAGUCCAACAGAUAUCCACAAGUAUUUUAUGCAACAUUAAAAUACAUGAAUGUGCCUCACAAUAUGCAAUAUGAAAUUCAUGCAACUAUGCAAGUAGAUUAAACGAUUUUACUCUCUAUCAUUGCCAUUCUUUAUUGUUAGACAUUCUUUACUAUUUGCAAUCCUUUCUUAUUAGCCACUUUUAUUCUUAGCCAUUCUUAUUCUUAGCUAACCUUUAUUCUUAGCCGUUCUCUAUUCUUUACUAAGGGUUCUCACACCUUAACCAUAUCAUGCUCAUUUGCCACUCUUUCAUAAGGUUACUCUUACCUCAGUCACAUUAUGCCACUCGACUCGGUCUUGAGUCAAUCAACUGCGGAUAAUCCGCGCUUUGUCCGGCUCGAGGUGAAAGAACUCUCACAUAUACCUCAGCCAACCACAGCCUACCGCGCUCCGUGACUUAGCCAUCCGGCGGCGAAACCAUCGCACACGCCAUGACAAUGGCUCAAGUUAACCGGCGGUAUAAUCCACAAACCGGCUUAACUAUCCGGCGGUGAAAUCGUUGCACACGCCACGACAAUGGUUUAGCCCCGAGCGGCGAAAUCAUCACACACGCCCCACACCCCUCUCGGUGUGAUCCAUAAGUCCUGGGAUUCCGGAAUCCAUUUCACAUAACUCAAGGGUUGGUCUUAACCCUCUAGUAUCGACCUAUCUAGGUCCAAUGUCCCUUCCAUCCUAGGUCCAAUUGACUCUAGGUUCAAUUCCUUUGUCACAUAACCUAAGUUUACAUGACUCUAGGUUCAAUUCUCAACCUAUGUUCUUUAACACUAGGUUCAAUGCCACUCUUGACCAACCUAUAUUUAUUAACACUAGGUUAAAUGCGACACAUGUCCAUCCUAGGUUCACGACACUAGGUUCAAUGCCACUCGAUCUACUUGACACUCCACUUGUCCACGUUGAGUAUCAUAGUUUACACAUUCUUAACUUCCAAUGUUGCAUUCUCUAAUACACCUAGAGUUAUCGACCUGUGUUCAACUCAUAUGAAUCAAGUAUAAUAUACAACUUGCCAACUUGCAUGUUAUUUAGCAUUUGUAUCUUAUAUCAAUAUGCAUUUCAUCUAGCAUAUAUUACAACAUGCACAUCUCAAUUAGCAUUCUCUACAACAUGUCAUUAUGCAUUCCGACUAGCAUGUUCUUAUAAUGUUUACAUGUAUAGGUCAUUUAUCUUUUGCUCUCAACUAGCAUCAUUCAUAUUAUGUCAUCAUGCAUUCUUUGGUAGCCUACUUAACAUUCACCUCAUGCAUUCAUAUAUUUUACCACUAGCUACCAUUAUAUGCAUCAAUAUGAAACCAUAUUUUCUUCGACAUGAAGGCGACCUAGUCGCUUCGGUAAACACAACCCACCUCAAUUCGCACUCCGAUUGCUUAUAGUCACUUGCAAUCGGCCUCCCGCGGCACCCCUUGCCCGGUUCAGCCCGAACUCGCACUCGACCACCAAACGGCCACCAAUCCACAAUCCGGAAAUUAAAGGUCUAUAACUUGAUGCCACGAUAUUCCGGAUCUGUUUUCGUGAUUUUUAGACGUCGCCUCGGCCCUCCAGGCGGAAACAAAGCCAAAAUGUCCGUUUCUUCAAUAUAUUCGCGUAGGUUCGAUGAAUCGCCGAACCGUCUUCACCAACGCGUCGAAAAUACCUUCAAUUAGGUUUACAAAGGGUCAAUUUACAUUUAAACCCAACUAUGACAAAAGCUCUAAUUUUGGUGCCCUAACGAUGCCAUAUGCUCAUUCCACCAUUUCGAUCUCUAAGGCAAGCAAUAACAAGCUUGGCCAACAUCUAGAAGCUCAUUUAGAACCAUUUAACCCAUUCUUAGGGUUUCUAACACAAACCCUAGAAUUUCACCAUGAAAGCUCUUGAAGUAAUCAUGGAUUUCAUGGUGUUCAUGGCCUCUAGAGGGUUUCUCUACAUGUAAGAAACUCAAAUCGAAGAGUUCUAGGGUACAAAACCAAACCCUAGCCUAGAUCUUACAUGAAAACCUCACCUUUGCCCAAAGCUCUCCCAGGUCCACCUUGUAGGAGAGCUCAAACCCUUCAAAUCCUCCAAAAAUCUCCAAACCCUUCUUCAAUCUCCUCCAAAUCCACCUUGUUGUAGUGCUUCUAGAGAGAGAAAGGGAAAGAAAUGAGUGUAGGAGGGUGUUCUUCAGCUGCUGUGAAGGGAAGAGGGUGUUGGGGUCUUAUAUAGGUUGCUACAAUAGCAACUAAGCCCCCCAAAUUCCCGUAUUUGCAGCAGACUUUCUUUUGCUGCCAGACCCAAAGUGUACUGGUACAUAUUGGCUGUCACCGGUAACACGAUCGCUCAGAGGCAAACCCGAGAGCUCUCCCUCUCGGUCUGUCGUUUUGUACCGGUACAACAUCAAUGUUGUACCGGUACACUUUGUCCAGACUACAAUUUUAGCACUUGUUCGACUUCUCUUCGCGCCGAGCAAUGCUAAAAUCCUUUUAACUCUUUUAGAACUCAUUUUUAACUCUUCCAACCUUGUUGGAAUACUAAUUGAAACUUGUCCAACCAUCUCUUUCGCACACUUUAGUCAAUUUGACUAAAGUUCGAUAUUCUCUACAGAGUUUUGGUAUGUUACAUUUCGGGCGCGAUUUCAAUCCAAUAUGCAAAUCCCUUGUAGCCAAGAAAGAAAACAAAACGUCCGAAUAUUCACUGGCACGAGAAGAAGCCAGUUCGCCUUGAAUGGCCUCAUACCGAGUAAGAAGCCAAGGUGGGCCAGUGACACGCUCGGCAAACGAAGACCAUGAAAUAAGGAAAUGAGGACGCGAUUCAUAGAAAAUUAUGAAAUAAGUGGCAAAAUCAAAAGGGUGAAUUGACGUUAACGGCUGGGGACAGCCAAGAGCUAAUCCGUAAAUGUCAAAAUGAGGAGCCGAGUCUAGAAUUAAAGGAUCUCGCCACAAAUUAGGAAAAUAAAUUUGCAAAAACAUUUGCAAAAACCAGAAAACACCACCACCAGAGCUGAUGGUUAAACCCUCUCCAUAAGGGAUCGGUUCGUCAGUAAAGGAGUGACCAAAGAUGAACCGAAAAGGGUUCGAUGGGACAAAUUGCCUAAGUAUGGUAUAAUCUAAUGACGGAGAAGAAGGAAGAGGCGAAAGUGGCGCCAUUGUUAAAAUGAAAGAAGAUAGCGAAGAAAAGCCCUAAGAGUCGAGAGUGAAAAAGGGGAAAAGAAGACAAAGAAGCAGAGAAGAUGAAGAUUCAAGCCAGAGAAAAGGAAAAACGAAGAGAACGAAGAUAGGCCAGAGAAAAGAAAAGUGGAAGCUUGGCGAAGAAGAAAGAGAAGCCGUCGCGUCGAAUCGAUUUCCGAGGCUGGCUAUAAUGAUGAAGAGACGGCGGCAAUUAAUAUGACCUAAUUAAUGCCGCAUAUAAGACAAAAAGGAAUGUUGAGAUCGUGGCCGUAGAGAGGAAAAGAACGGCUGAAAAGGAACCGUACAAAGAAUUCGAAUUGACAAUAUCGAAAGACGCGCCUUUGAUUACGCCAGCUACCGAAGCGUCUGUUCGAAAGCUGCCAAGGGGGCAAAUUGUUAAGCCAAGAACACGCGGCCAUAUGGUAUGCUGAUGCACCGUUCAACCCCAAUCUUUAAAAGCAAUGAUUAGAGAAAAUCUUGGUGUGCACCGGGAGCAUCGACAAUAUAAUUAAGUAACCGCUAGGAUUAAUUGCAGGAAGUUACAGUAAUUGCAGGCGGUUACAUGCAGAUUUGAUUGGCCUGAAGUGGCCCGUAAAAAUAGGAUAGUGGCCGAUCAUGGAUGGGGCAAUAACUGACUAGCAGAGGCAGACUAUAAAUAGGCAAAUAACGCCUAGAAAAGGAGUCUUUUCCCUGAGAAUAGAAGACCACCUUUAUUUCCUCUGCAUUUUUCUCGCAUUUUCUAGGAGUAGUCUACUUGUAAUCUUUUACUUUCCCGCACUUACUAUUUUUCUAGAAGUAGAUUUAAGUUAGAUCAACCGAGUCUGUAUGCUCUCAGACACACUCAUCCCUUGUACUAGUUUUACAAGUUAAUUCCAAUAUAUAAAGGCAUUCGGCUUUUCAGCCGACCAAAAGUACAGUGUAUUCCGUACAUUCGGCUCAUCCAGCCGAACCGAAUCUAUAGUAGGAGGUUCUGAACUCGGCUGAUCCGAUCCUUCAUCAGCCGAAUCGCUUGAUCCAGUCGAAGGGUGCGAACUUCGAAGGUAACUAAUCGUAGCCGUUUCAUAUCCCCACACGCUUCCCGAGAGAGAUCUUUGACCGGUCAAGGAUCAGGGAAUUCGGCUCCUAACAAAAUGGUAUCUCUCUAACUUCCAAUUUGUUGUAUUUUAUUUAGUUAAGUUAAUUUUUUUGUCAUAUUUUUAUUAAUUGUUACUUGAUGCUAUCUUUUUUUUUGGUAAAUAGUAAUGUGUUUCAUUUUUUACUUCUCUUGUUGAGAACUUGAAUGUGUCUUAUCAUUUCCUUUCAAUCAUUUACACACAAGAUGGGAUGCAAUUGUAAUUUUACUAUUAACAUAUCUAGUUAUAGAAUUUAAUAAAAUAAAAUUGAUAUUUAAAUUCCAUCGAGAUCUUGUGUCGACCUUCAAGUGGAAGUAUGUGAUGUACAAUAUAGUUUAAGCCAUAAUUUUUAUUUUUAGAGUCUACUUAACUACAUCAAGUUGUGGUUGAUGGACAAAUGAAUAAUAUAAAACGCAUCUUUAACUGAUUGACAGCACUUAAUUUAACCCAUUUUGCAAAGUACUUUUUUUUGUAGACCCGACAAUUGGCUUUGGUUAUGUGAUCACUUUGAGUCGGAAGCCUUCAAAGUAAUACAAUUUGUUAUUUCUUUAAUUUUGUGGUGAACAAUAACUAUAUUAUUUCAAUUAUUAUGAGUAUGUUAAUAUACAAAAAAUUACUUGUAUCAAUAAAAAAUAUAUAUAGUUAUUACACUUCUUAAUAUAUGGAUACUAGUGAUAAUUUCUUAAUUCUUCUUUAUAGAGGCGUUCAAUGGCCAACUCCAGUAACCGAAGAAAAUUACCAUAUAUUCAUCGAGCGGGUACUAGUAUCUUUGUGGCUACUCGGCAUAAAUUGGUAUAUUUUAAAGUUUUUAAUAUAGCACGAUUUAUUUUUUAUAAAUUUUACUAAUGUGUUAUAUUAUAAAACGGAGCAUGUGGUGAGAUUGCUUUAUUCAAAGGAUAUUAUCAUAAUGGAAAAGGAUGGGCCAAAAUUGCCUUAUUCAAGGGAUGCUAUCAUAAUGAAAAAUAAUGGGCCAACGAUGAGGCUAAGAAAAGAUAUGUUAGUUCUCACUAAUUUUGAAUAUAUGUUAAUAAAUUAUUAUGUAAAAAAUAUAACUAAUAUUUUUUAUAUUCAUAUGUGUUAAAAGUGUUUUAACUGUGGUUAACAAAAUUUUUCUAACGGACUCUAACGGCAGGGACAUAUCUGAAUACAUCAAGACUUUUGCAGGGAUAACGUAUGAAAGUUGAGCUUUGCAAGGAUAUAUUUAUAAUUCACCAUAUUUGGAGGGACGUGUAUGCAAUUAAUCCUAUAACAAUACAAACAUAUAUAUAAGAAAGAGAGAGUAAGGUAAGUGCAUGGAUAAGUGAUAAAACUUUACGCGGAUAGCCAUUAUCGCGAGCCAUUAUUAGUGGAUAAAUUCACCAUAAAUAAGCUUUUCUCAAUUACUUUUAACAUAGUCCCUAUACAUUUUUUUUUUAAUGUUUUUUACUCAAACACAGUAAAUAUGUUAUUAUUAUUAUUAUUAUUAUUAUUAUUAUUACUACGUGUUACGAUUUCAUCUCUAAAGGACUACUAUUUUAAAUUUUUCCACAAAUAUCUUCCACGAUUCGUAUAUUUAAUAACCGUUUAGUGUUUUCGAAAUAGAAAUUAGAAAAAUUUUAUUCUUAUUAUUUAAUAUUAUUUUGCAUGAUAAAAUCUUUUAUUAAUAAAUAUUAUAAAUACAUGUCAAAUUUGCUGAAAAAUUAUAAUUUAAAUUUAUUUAUCCAUUUCAGACAUACUAUAACAAUUAUAAACUGAAUUUAAAUUUCUCAAAUUUUUAAUAUCUAUUUCAAAAUAUAUUAUAGUGCAGAUGAGAUAAAAAGCAAAAUUACACCUUUUGUUCUCAAACUUUAAUUUAUUAUAAUUUUUGGCUCAAAAUUUUGAAUUGUUAUAAUUAGAAUUUACAAAUUCAAUUUAGUUGGUUAAAUAUUGAUAGACUAAUAAUGUAGAAAUAGCGUGAAAAUAUUAUAGUUAACGAUGUGGCAAUAAUUGAAAUACUGUACCACUUCCACAUCAACAAUUUAUAAAUAUUUAGAAUUGUAAUAAUUCAAAAAGUUUAAAUAAGAAAUUAUAAUAAAUUUAAAUUUUAGGAUUAACACUACAACAGAAUUAGGUUAUAGGGACACAUGUGUCACGCCCCGGGGUCCCUUUUCAGUUUAAAACAAAGCGGAAAAGCGUCUGAGUUUUUUUUUUUGAAAACCUGACCCCAGAGUAUGCCAGAUCCGCCACAAAUACAGGGAAUCCACUGUUCACACGGACAANAAAACAUCUACUAAUGCCUAAAUAUAAAGCCCAAUCAAACCAAGAAUAAAAGAUUACUCUACUCAACCCACCACACCCAGUCCAUUUAGCCCGAUUACAAACAGAAAAGAAAAAAAAAAGAAAAAUCAAUUACUAUCUUUUCUUCUCUCUUCACUCAAUCCAUUGAAAUUCUAGACGAAGAGCCUUUUCUGUCGUUCUCCUCCGCCACGGCAGCCAACGAGAUAGAGGUUCGGCGGUUGUUAAAUGCUUAAAUAAGUGUUGGUAAAUUAGCAGCACUCUUUUAGAUUAUAGCGACACUCUUUAACUAUCACUAUAUACCUAGUGACCCCACAUAUAGCAACACUUUUUAAAAGUGUCGGUAAUUUUAGCUAGUAGCACUUUUUUGACAUGUACCUACAUUUAAAAGUGUCGUUAUAGACCGUUUUUAUUGUAGUGUAAAGUGUCAUGCUAUUCAUAGUUUGAGGACUAAGUGUAAUUUUUCUUGAGAUAUUUAAAAAAAACUUUUAUGUAUAAUGGACCAAAUUGCAAUAUCUGGAAAGUACGGGGAGUAUCCUUCCAUUUCAUCCGUAAUUAAGUUUUCGUUGAAACGGAAACGGAGCCGUCCUCGUCCCCCGUUUCGAGGCUGCGGAGGCUCGGAGCCGAAGCUCCAGGCUAGGGAUAGGGAUAUGUGGGCCCCACCAUAAGCGGCUGUCGCGUGCCGCAUAGAAGGAAUCGCCACGGAGAAACAGGAAACAUGGAAUGGGGGAUUACAAUCCCCUUUUAAUGAGAAUGAAGUUCCUAUGACCGAGCAAGAAAUUUGUGCUCAAAUACUUGGCACUAGAUAUGGAUACAUACCUAGGCGAGGACAUGGUCCAACACCUAAGUCACGACAUGAAGUUUCGAAAAAUCAAUCAUCACAAUUGCAGGAAGAAUUGACAAACACAAAAACUCUUCUUGAGACCCAACAAUCUCAAAUUGAGACUCAACAAUCUCAAAUUGAAGUUUAACGUAAGGAGAUUGAAUGGUUAAAGACUAUGGUGCAACAAAUCAUUCAAAUGCCACCAAGAAAUGAAGAUUUUGGACCAUCUACUACGUGGUAAAUAAGAUUUUUUGAGUAGUUUUUCUUCUUUUUUUUUUAAGUCAUUUGUUGUCAAAAUUUUAUAUACUUAUAAAACUAACUAUACAUAUUAACUAUCUUCAAGUAAGUAUUUUAAUAAAUUAAAAUGACUUGUUUAUUUGCUUACACAAAAUAACAAAGUCAAUGAAUAUUAAUUUAUUUAUCUAUCUUGUAUUAUUAUCUUAGUCUUGAAAUUGUAAAUGAAUUAUUUAUAUAAAAUAAUAAUUAAUUAAGAAAACUUUAUUAUCGCAUUAUUAAAUUUUUUUUUACUUUUUGUGCAGAAAUAUGCGAAUGGACUAUAUUGGAGCAAGCCAAGUACUAAAAUAUCUUCUAUUGGAAUGUCGGUAUUUUUGUUGAAAAAAUAUUAGUGACCAUGUAUUAGAAUGAUUAAUCAAGAGUUGAAUAUUUUAACUGUUUUAAAAUGAUACUUAGUUGGCUAUAUUUUGUUUAUUUGGAUUUGUAAAGAUAUUUUGAAUGAGAAAUACAUUUUUUUUUGUUUGUUUAUUUAUGUAUGAUGUUUGAUGAUAAUUUGAGUUGUUAAAUAUAAAAAAAUGUCAUAUAAAUAGUGGAUGGAUAUUGCUGCAGGAUUGAUUGCUGAAACUGCGACCAAAUUGUUCAUUGCUAAUAUAUAAUUGGUAGUAUAUAUUGACAGAUAAAUUUGCGACUAUAUUAUUGGUCGAAAAAUAUUUGUUGAACUAGUUAACUUGUAAUUAAAAUUGCGACAAACUAUUAUCGUCGCCAUAGUAUCAUAAAAAAAUAAAAUAAAAUAAUUAAAAAAUAAUGGCUUUUACUGACGAAACGAUAUUGUUGCAAUUAGGUUAUAUUUAGUUACGAAAAAUAUUAUUCAGAUGUAUAUUUAGCAACAAAUAAUUGGGCCAAUAGCGACCAUUUAUAUUGUCGCUAUUGGUACAUUUAUAGGGACAAAUCUUUUACUGUCGCUAAAUGUAGCAGCUAAUAGUGACCGACUUUACUUCGUCGCUAAAGAGUUAUAGCGACGGGGAGGUAGCGACGAAGCAGCGACGAAGAUAGUUUUGUCGCUAAAGAAUAAUAGCAACGAAAUGUCGUCCUAUAGCGACAAACAAUGUUGGUUACAAAAGGCGUCAAUUUUUGUAGUGUCAGUAUCAACCUGCGCAAACUCGAGAGCAUCAAUUCUGCAAUUUCACUGGGGUACCGGUACUUCUCCCCAGGUACCGGUACUCAACACUGAAAUCUUGCACUUUGCAGAUUUCAGUGUUAGAACUCCCCUUUCGCAUCACGCUGAGUCCGUUUUGCGUCCAUUCCGCGCCAAAACGACUCCGACUUGUCUCGACACCCACCAGAUGUGCCGACAAGCCACAGAUGCUGAAGUCACACAGACCGUUAAACACUAGGGACACUAUAAAAUCAGGCGAAACAAAAUUGUAAUUUCGAUAAUUCGGCAGUGCCGGAAGCGCUGGCACAGUCUGUUUGCAAAUCCGAUGGACGGAUCUCCUGAUAUCGCGCGAUUACCGGGAAGGGUUAAAAAAUGGCGAAUUGAAAGAAUUCACAGAAGCCCUACAUUUUAUGUACCGAUUUGCAUAAAAUCGAACUUGGGGGUGUGUUCGCGCAAUUUUCUCGUGCUGUGAGGGACUUAGCUAUUACAAAUUAGAGGACUCAUUUGCAAAAUUGCACCUAUAUAUAUAUGGCCAACUAGGGUUUUGUUGACCCAAACCCUAACCCUAGCUUGCCACCCUCAGCUGAAACCUACCAGCUACCUCACUACCCUCCCAUUCCUUUGUCGCCCGCACCCCGGUCGUUGUUGUGCACCUCGACUGCUGGAAGUCACCACCUCUCUUCCUCUCCCUCACAUUUGCUUUUUUUUCCUCCAUCUUUGCUCGAGAGCCUGGCAGGGUGAUCCCCCACCCUUGGGCCAUCUUCUAGUACACCACCGGACCUCCGAGGACCUCCCCCGCCGACUGUUGUCGUCCCUGAGUGCGGCCACCGCGAACUUUACAGCCUACAGCCAGCCUAGUACUGGUGCAGCCGAGCCUUACAGCGCCGUCCGGCCACCGGCAGCCAUCCUCCUUCCCUCCCCUCGACUCCAGGGAAGGCCCAUACCCUUCCUCUGGCAACCCUAAACCGCGCCGUGGCUGGAGAAGCCACCUGAACCCUGCGACGAGCUUGCUGAUGUGGUUUUCGUGUUGCCCCUUCCAGCGCGCGCUGCCGCCGCGCCGCCUCUCGCCGCCGACCAAUGCGAGCGCCGGCCCUCCCCCGCCGGUGGCACCUGCCUGCCGCCGACGCGCCCGCCUGCCGCCGGCGCGCCCGCCUGCCAUCGACCGAGCCCUAGCCCGCCCUGCCCUGGUGAGUCCAUUUAAGGUUUUUGUUGGGGUUUUUGGGAUGUUCUCGCUGUUCCUGCGAGCCGAGACUGUCCCGAUGCCUCUGGAGGUGAGCACGGUGAUCUCUGGUCAGUGCUGAUCAUGGUGCUCACCUCAUUUGUAGUUAGCGAGUCCCGGAUUCGCGUAUUCUGCCCGGUUUGCCCUUCGGACCGUGAGUACGGCCUUCGGCUUUUUGAUACCUGUCAGCCUGUGUCUCGGCUGACCUUGAAAAUCCUCGAUUUGCGGUAACGGUCCAUAAAACUCCGCUUUUCACAUAAAAUAAUGGAAUUGUUUGUUGUUUUAGGGGCUUUUAUGCAAAAUGCCAUCCUGCUACUACUACGGGCAACUUGUGUGCAUGGUGAGCGACCUAUGGACUGAUCGUCCAAGGUCCGAAGCCCUCCGCGGAAAUCGAAUAUCAAUUUCGGUGCAUUUUUCGAUGAAAUUCGCCGGCGGAAUGCGGCUUCGGUUCAGAUUUCAUCCGACGAUACUAGAAUGCCCUGUACCUUAUCUCUGAGCCUUGUUGGCUGGUCAUCAUCGUCAUUCUGAGAGUCCGGAGACGACGAGUGAGCGACGGUGGGUUUCGAGGUCGAAAAUUGACACUUUCGGAAACCGGGAUCGAAACGAUUAUCCGACGAUAAUUGUUUUGAUGUGAGACUUUAUGUUGCUGCCUAGAUAUUCAAUAUGAUAUGUUUUGAGGCAGCGGGUGGCUCGUGGCUCAAGUCGGUAAGUUCCGGGACCGUUAGUGGGUCCCGGCAGCAUCCCGGUGUGAUUUUCGGGAUAUCCGGUGAGUCACGGUUAUUGGUUUUGGAAAACCGAUUCCACGGGGAAACGUAUGGGGUUGUGAGUUGUAUAUUAUGGAUUAGUAGGAUUGGACACUGACCCGGUGGACCCUUUGUAGGUCCGGUUGACGAUCUGAUCUAGUUUCGAGAUAGGCACGACAUUGGUACAGGUAGGUACUUCGAUCCGAAGUCAGUCUAGUGGUGCACGCUCGGUGACGUUCCCUCUACCCUUUCUCUUUAUGUUUUCGCAUUACCCACAUUAUUGAGCUUAGCACCAUAUGACUUCAUUACUUGUUACUCUGCUGAGUUACUUUUAUAUUCGAUUAUCAUGAUCUAGGAGUAGGGUGGUUAUUGAUUAUACUUGUGCGUGAUGUGACACCAGUUGUGACCUAGUUGGUUGGUUUCGAGAUUCUGCUUGUUUGAUGACCGAUUCGGUCGGCAAACCCUGAGGGGUUGAUCGUUGGCUACUUGCCGACGGUUAUUGAUCAUAUUUUCAUCGAUCGCCACUGCUCGUAUGCAUUUCACGUACACCAGCGGUUUGGCCACCGCAACGGUGUUCUUUUCCGAAAAAGUGGUCGGAAACACCAACCCCUGAGCCCAGGAGCUUAUGCUAAAGUUAUAUGUCAUUUAGAGCGACAUGGCACUUGCCUAAGGUCCUUAAACCGACAUAGCGGAUUCUGAAUUGGGUAUUUUGGACUGAUUGUCCGAUUGAUGCAUGUUAUUUACAGUAGAGGUAGUUGUAUAUACACAUCUUGUUUCUUACUUGACGUUGCUACUGCAUUACCUUUCAUAAUUACCUUUUUGGUUACCAGUGAGUACACUCGCUCUCGUCGGCUUGCGGUACCCACUAAGAGACCUUUGUUGGUUUCUCACCUUCCCUAUUUCAGGUGAUCUUGGAGGUGCGAUUCGGGACGAGGCUUGACGCACAUAGCUAGUGAGUGGUAUAGGUCCCAACCUAGUGGUAUUUCUGAUUCUAGACCCUAUUCCCUACUUUUGAUGAAUAACUACAAUAUUGUGGUUCAGCUCAGUUUAUUCAUGUUUCGCUUUACUUGGAAUAUGACUUUGGUUUUGCAAUCUUAAAUAAAUUAUGAUGGAAAUGGUUUUUUACCCCUCGUGAUAGCUCGCUGUUAAAAAAUAAGGGUUUCCGUGUAGGAAACGGUUUUCAAAAAAGUUUUACAGCUUUUUGUGAUUUUAGUAUUUCAAAAUAAGUUUUCGGGUGGGAAACACUUUCAAAUGAUAGAUGUGAAUGUAUGAAUGUAAUUGUGAAUGUGUUGUGAAUGGAUGUGACUGUAACUUGUAUGAUGUGCGACGCCGUGCAAAUACAGAGAAAACUAUGUCCGUGUAGAUAGAGAAUUCUCUGUAUUUGUGGUAGGUCUGUCAUUCCUUAGGUCAAGGUUUUCAAAAAAAAAAAAAAAGGGCACUUUCCGCUGAUCCACAAACUUUUAAGGGACCCCGAGGUGUGACAGGAAUCCUAUCCUCCAUUUUAUAGAGUUGUUCAAUUUACACCAUUCACUGUUUGUUUAGUGCAGCAGAAAAUAAUUUAUGAAAACUUCAAAUUUUGGAAUUAUUAGAAAUGUAAAGCUCAAUAUCUAGAGGAAAGAAAAAAUUAUAAAAAGAAAAUAGAUACCAACGCAUCCAAAGGAAUACUUCAACUUAGAUGUUUGUCAAAAUUAAAUAAGAAAAGUAGCAGUAGAGUUCAUACCGUCCCACUGGGAAGCUCUGCUAGAUAAACUUUACCCAAUCUACUCUCUCUCAUCAAAUUAUCUUCUCUAAAGCUGUUUGUGUAUUGCUGAAGGGAUGAAACAGCAAAGGAUGACACAGAUGUAGGGGCAUUGACUUUCUCAGGUGGAGCGUUCCUCGUGGCAUAUUCAGGUGGUGCAACUGGAUUUACUAUAACCCUCUCCACAGAAGCAGGUGGCGGCACAAGGUUUACUGUUACUCUUUCCACCGGAGGUGGAGGUGGAGGUAGUGGCAUGACAAGUUCGUCGGUCCCUUCCAAAUCGAUUACAUGAUCUAUUUUCUUGUCUGACGUGCUCUCUGAAACUGCCAAAAACAAUUAGAAGUUAUUCCCUUCAGAGAUACUUAUAAAUACACCCUAAGUAAUCUAUUUAUGACCUUCAGAAAUAGUUUCCUACAUGCAUGCCCCUGUACAAAGUACAAACAGUAAUGCCUCUCUCUAAAAGAUUGUUAUACAUCAAAACCAGCUAAAAUUGGCGAACCUUCAAUUUAAGAUAAGGGGAUUUCUUUUAGAAACUGCACUUGCUAGGGAUGUGUGUUAAAGAUCAGAUCCUAUUCAAAUAUUUAUGUAAAUAGAUGAUGUUGUAUGGAUGUAUAAGUAAAGGAUCCUAUUAAGUCUAGACUAGUUAGUAAAGAGACCCACAGAUCACGUACUACCCACUCCACUCUUUGAUUUUCAGGUCGGUUAGCAAAUCAGCCUCGCAUCCUAUCGAUAGCGAUUUAGAUCACCUCCCCAACCAAGCCUGCCUAACCUAAUUCUUUCUGGGAAAUCGAUCGUGACAAGUCGACCUAAUGAAAGCACCUGUAGAUUUUAGAUAGAAGCCCUUUGUCCACCGCUGGACUCAUCCUCAAUGCCUAAAAUUGCCUAGUUCAGUCGCUUGUCUGCCACUUCCCAUGCCCGAGAUUCCCUUAUGGGUAGCAUCCUAAAAAAGAGAUAGCUUUGUGGUCAACUUCUAUUCUGCUUGUUGGAAGCUUUUUCCGGAUCUCUUCCCGGAUCAACCUACUCAAUAUCCGAAAGAGGGUAGGCUUUUUUGGCGGCCGNAUAUUUUUAUUAUUUAAAUUUUAGCAAAAUAAAAAUAUAAAUGCGAGCUUAAUUAUAAAAAGACUUAUUUAUAUGUAAAGUUUUAACUAUUAGAUAAAAGUCUAAUGGAUAAGAUUUUAUAAAUUUAUAUCUUAUAUAUAUUUAAUCUAAUUUAUUUAAUUUAUUAUUCGUUGGCCAGCUCGUAAGCCAGCUCGUGUUCGGCUCGUUUACACCCCUACCUAUAUCUGAGUAGCGUGAUUUAGGAGUAGAGCGGUUGAUGAUUAUCUCGAUUCAUGAUAUGACAUCAGUGUGACCUAGUCGGUCGGUUGAGAUUAUAGUUGAUGACCUAUUCGGUCGGCAUACCCUAAGGGUGUGAUUGUUGGCUACUUGCCGACGGUUAUUGAUUAUAUUUGUAUCGAUCAUCACUGCUCGUAUGUAUUUCACGUACACCAGUGGUUUGGCCACCGCAAUGGUGUUCUUUUUCAGAAAAAUGGUCGGAAUGAGCCUAGCGGCCCACUACUAGGGUUAUAUGCCAUUUAGAGCGGCGUGACACUUGCCUAAGGCUCUUAGAUCGACAUGGCGGAUUCUGUAUUAGGUACUUUGGACUGAUCGUCCGGUUGACACAUGUUGAUGUACAGUAGCGGUAGCUGCAUUUAUAUACCUUGUUUCCUCACUUUACUUUGCUACUGUAUUACCGUUUAUAGUUACUUUUUGGUUACCAGUGAGUACACUCGCCAUCGUCGACUUGCGGUACCUAUUGGAAGACCCUUUGUUGGUUUCUCACCCCCCCAUUUCAUGUGACAUUGGAGGUUCGAGUCAGGACGAGGCGUGAGGCACGCGCGUAGCGAGAGUAGACCUCUCAGCUUGGCUAUCGUCGUAUCUAGACUCAUCCUUUUUUUAUUUGAAUAAUAGAUUAGAUAAUUGUGGUUCAAUUUAUCAUAUUUAACUUGAAUUGGUNACAUUGGAGGUUCGAGUCAGGACGAGGCAUGAGGCACGCGCGUAGCGAGAGUAGACCUCUCAGCUUGGCUAUCGUCGUAUCUAGACUCAUCCCUUUUCUAUUUGAAUAAUAGAUUAGAUAAUUGUGGUUCAAUUUAUCAUAUUUAACUUGAAUUGGUUUUUAUUUUAUCCUGGUUAUGACUUUUAAUAUUGAUCAAGAAUAAUUGUGAUUUUCGCAUGGUUUUAUGAAAAUGAUUUUCUACCCUUCGUGGUAAUUGAUUUUUAAAAAGAAAAGAUUUCCGUGUGGAAAAUGAUUUUAAAAAGGAUUUUUCGCUUUUUAUGAUUCUAGUAUUUCAAAAUGAGUUUCGGGGUGGAAAACAUUUUAAAUAAUAGAUGUGAUUGAUUGAAUAUUAAUCGUGAUGUUGUGAAGUGGUGAAUGUAUACAUAAUUUGUGCAUGCUUGUGGUUAUAUCUUGUACUUGUGCGACGCCGUGCAAAUAUAGGAAAAACUCUAUCCGUGUGAACCGUGGGUUUCCUAUAUUUGUGGUGGAUUUGGCAUCUCCUGGAAUCAAGAUUUUCAAAAUUAAAAAAUUUGGGCACUUCCGCUUUUUUUUGUACUUAAAAGAGAUUCUGGGGCAUGACUGACGGUCUUUCUCUAUAUUCUUUUUCUAUUUUUUAAAGUCAGAUAUAAGACAAUCUAUUCGAAAUUCCAAACAAAAACCUAACGAAAACCUAUUUCCGGAAAAAAAAAAAAUGGCUAAAUUACAGAAAACCCCCCUGUAAUAACCCGCUUUUUCACUUCCCCCCCCUGACAUUUAAAAACCUACAUUUUGCCCCCUUCUAAUUACGAAAUUGUGCACAGGGGGCUACGGCGUUAACGGAAAGUGUGAAAUGACGAUAAUGCCCUUACCUUUUACUUGACGGGGAGAGAGAGGGGAGAGAGAGAAAGUGGAAUGUCGUUCGUUUCGUCGUUGGAGAAAAAAAAUCUAGGGCUCGAUCCUGCGAGGAGGACGAGGCGAUUCGAACCCUAGGCGUAGGCGAAAGGCAAGCGCUAGCUUUCGAACCAAGGAGAAAGGCGAGCGAAUCGACAUAGGGACAGUGAUCGUGCUUGAACGAGGACCCUCUUACUAUGCUGAGGUAUAAUUAUAAGCUUUAGUGUUGAAAUGUUAAUUUAGUACAUGUGGUCCCUAAUGUUUCUGUGGUUGAAGAAAUUCCUUUGGGUUUUGUAGUUUUGCAUUAUUUUAUUCCUUAUUUUAGUACAUGUGGUCCCUGAUGUUCCUAUGCUGAGGUAUAAUUAAGCUUUAGUGUUGAAGGUUGGUUUGAUAUUAUCUGAGCUUUUGGUCCCACUUUGCUUUAUGUUUUUGUAUGUGAUGCAUUUAUAUUUUUGUUUUAUUUNUUUUAUAGUCUCCCGCCAUUUUAAAGGGUAGUUUGGGUAUCUCCACUAAUAAAUUUCGAAAAAGCAAACAGAACACUCACGGAACCGUGACGGCAAGGGGCCCUGUGCACAAUUUCGUAAUUAGAAGGGGGCAAAAUGUAGGUUUUUAAAUGUCAGGGGGGGAAAGUGAAAAAGUGGGUUAUUACAGGGGGGUUUUCUGUAAUUUAGCCAAAAAAAAAACUCUGCUAAAUCUCAACGGGAAGCCUAAGGCAGCGUUUGGUUUGGAAACAAGGAAGAAAUAAGCCCUUGUUCCCCCUUUUGUUUCCAAACAUAAAUUUUUGUACUUGAGAAUAGUAGUUUUCGGAUUUCUGGAAUAAUCUAGUAUAACUUGAUAUAAGCUUGAAACUGCUAUUUCACCCGAACAAAGUUAAUUAAAGUCUAAAUUUAAUUUUAAUUAUGGUAUUAAAUCAUUAAUUAAUCUAAAUAAUAUAUUUAAAUCAUUAUCAAUUUCUUAAAUAAUAAAAUAAUUAAUUACUUUAUUACUUAUAAUUAAUUGGCUAAUUAGUUAUUAAUAAUUUAAUAUGUUUAUUCAUAAACUAAUAUACAUAUUAAUAAACCAUUAAUAUUUUUAAUGGUUUAAUAUGUUAUUAAUAUGUAUUUUAGUUAUUAAUAUGUAUAUUAGUAAACCAUUAAUUAAUAUGUAUAUUAGUUAUUAAUAGUUAUUAAUAUACAUAUUAAUAAACCAUUAAUUAGCUAAUUAGUUAUUAAUAUGUAUAUUAGUUUAUUCAUAAACUAAUAUACAUAUUAAUAAACCAUUAAUAUUUUUAUUAAUCUAAUUAAUUGUUUCUACUAGUUAUGUAAAUAAAAUAAUUUACUAACUAAUCAUAAACUAAUAUACAUAUUAAUAAACCAUUAAUAUUUUUAUUAAUCUAAUUAAUUUUUUCUACUAGUUAUGUAAAUAAAAUAAUUUACUAACUAAUUAAAAAGUUAAAUUACUUUUUAUAAUUAAUUAAUUAAUUAAUAUAUUUUUAUUAUCUUAUAUAAUAUUCAUAGUUAAUAAAUUUAUUAAUUAUUUUUAAUUAAUAUUUUGCUGUUAAUUAAUUAGAUAAAAUAUUUUUAAUUUAAAAUUAUAACUCUUAUCUUUUUUUGNUACAUAUUAAUAAACCAUUAAUAUUUUUAUUAAUCUAAUUAAUUGUUUCUACUAGUUAUGUAAAUAAAAUAAUUUACUAACUAAUUAAAAAGUUAAUUUAUUAAUUAUUUUUAAUUAAUAUUUUGCUGUUAAUUAAUUAGAUAAAAUAUUUUUAAUUUAAAAUUAUAACUCUUAUCUUUUUUUGUUCCAAACUAACCAUCCACAUACUAUUUAUUUAUUUUAUUUCUAAAAACAAUCUAAUUUUUUUAAAAUAUAAAAUUGAUUUAAUUAUUAUUUAUAUCUAAAUUUGUAUCUAUUUUAAAAAUAAGUUAUUCUUACUUAUUUUCGAAUCAAACGCAGUAUAAAAGUACGGCUUAGUUUAGUAUUGAGGCCUAUCGAUGGAGUUGGAAUAAAAAUAUAUAGAAAUAUAUUUCUGUCUUCUACGAUGAACCGAAAAAAAUAUAUAUUAUAGUCGACCCACAAUAGUAAACGAAACGUAAUAUUAUAUAUAAAAUUAAAUAAAAUAUUUUUGAGCGUACUUUUCCGUCACUGGUACAGUAACUUUUUCGCAAUCGGACGCGAAGCCAAAUGGUGAAACUGUACUCGAAGCGUGAAAUUAACGCUGCCGAUUGCGUGGACACAAUAGUGGCUAUCCAGCCCAGGAUAUCGCGAUCCCAGAAGUGAGAGAAAGAAUGGCCGUGGCUCUUCUCACCCAUCCUCCCCCUUCUCCCACACUCUCCCAUUCCCCCUCUUCUCUCCCCUCCAUCUUCUGGUACUUCUUCUCCUGCUGUACUCUCUCUUUCUCUCUCCUUCCACUUCAAUUAAACGCUAAAAGAAGAUUCUUGAUUGUGGUUUCCAGGGACCGGAAUCCGUUUUGCAGAACAAGAACAAGAACAAGAACAAGAACAAGAACAAGAAGAUGCCCGCUUCUGGGGAGAUCCCAUGUCGUUGUUUCUUCGUGUUGUUCAGAGCCUACUUCAACAAUGACGAGCUCACGGAGGAGAAGGGAUCUCGUGUUGUCGACCCUCGCGGCUUCGUUAGCACUGGCUCUUCCAUGUUCCGGUAGGAACUGAGCCUCUCUUUGUUCUUGCUAUUUCGCAUGUAACUUACCUGACCUGUGGACCACUUUGAUUCCACUAUCCGGACUUUCAAAAUUUUGAUAUACAUCAACCUUUCAAAAUUACUUGAAUUUGGGAGAGCUUAAGAAUACAUAAAGUAUUUAUUUUAAAAAACAGAUUUAUGAAGCAAGUUAUUACAAAAGUUCGGUGUGCAGAGCACAAGCUUUUUAAGAAACUUUUUUUUUGCUUUGGCUCUAGGAUUUACAAUAUUUUAAGUGCUUUUUUUUGCAUUGAGCCCCCUCUCAUUUUUUUUUUUUUAAAUAGUCCCAUAAAAUUUAUAAUUGCAAAACUGGCCCUAUCCCUGCCAUGCAAGUGCCACGUCAGCGGCUGUGGAGGGUUAAGUUGAACACGGUGCAUGAGUCACCAUGUUUAAACAUGGUGAACCAUUUACCAUGUUUGGACGGGCUAAACAGUAGUCAAGUUCCGUAAUGCAGAAGAACUCAAACAGCCUCGCAGUUUAGCUUAAACAUGGUGAACCAUUCAUCGUGUUUAGGACUUUUUUUGCAAUUGGCCCCGUGAAAAAAAUUUAUUUUAAAAAUAACCCCGAUAAAUUUAUAAUUGUAAAAAUAGCCCUACCGCUGCCACGCAGUCGCCACGCGGGCAGGCUGGAUGGCGGGUUUGGCAAGUUGAACACGGUGGACCAUUCACCGUGUUCAAACAUGGUGAAUGGUUCACCGUGUUCAGUUAGUUAUUCUGCCUUGAAAAAGAUGGUGUAUAAUAUGUUUAGGGUUUACAUCAAGCGACGCGAAUAAACAAAAGAAAUACGGUGAACCAUUCACCGUGUUUGAACACGGGUGAAUGGUUCACCGUGUUCAACUUGCCAAGCAGGAGCCCAGCCCGCCAACGUGGCAUUUGCGUGGCGCCUGCGUGGUAGGGGUAGGGUCAUUUUUGCAAUUAUAAAUUUGUCGGGGCUAUUUUUAAAAUAAAAUUUUUCUAGGAGGCCAUUUGCAAAAAAAAACCUCGUGUUUAAGCUACUGACGUGGCGCUUGCGUGAGGGGAAUAGGGCCAAUUUUACAAUUAUAAAUUUUGUAGGGUUAUUUGUAAAAAACAAAUUUAUGAGGGUACCAAAUGCAAAAAAGGCCCAUAUUUUAAUUUUUACCGUACCAUAAAAAGGGGCCUUUAUGCAAGUUCUGAAAAAGUUGAGGGGGUUCAUGGCCACUGUGAGCCCCUCAAUAGCUCUAUCCUUGGAUGACUCUUUCUGUAGUAAGUAUAAGUUCGUUACUUUAAUGAAUUUAUAGUUACAUUGAUUGCAUAAAAUAUACUAAUUAAGUCUACAAGGAUGAAGAUGUAUUCAAAUUUUGAAGUUAAAGAGUAUCAAAUAAAUUGAUUGAUUAGGUAGCAAGAUUAAAAUUUUUAAAGGUUAGGUAGUUAGAACAAAAUGGGUGAUAGCUGAGUUAACUUCUAUACAACUGUCUUGGUUGUACAAAUGCAUGGAGACCCUUUAAUGUAGGAUAGGCCAUUUUGAAAUAAACCCCUCAGCUAUUAUUUAUUGGAUUGAGACCGCCCUCAACUCCAAAGUUUUUGGAAUUAAGUGAUAGUAAGUCAAAAAAAAUUGAAGUUUUAUAAAUUCAAAUUUAAUGACUUUAAUUGCUUUUCAGUAAAUGAAAUUAUCUUAACUAACGAUUAAUAACUAGUAGAGUCAUUAAAUUUGAUACAUAUACACACACACACACAUGCACGCACUUAUCGAGUAUGAAAUCUCAAAAAAAAAAAAAAAAAAAAAGAACUUGAGGGGUUCUCGAACCAAAAGAAAAUAGUUGAGGGGGCCAUUUUACGGUGGCCUAUAGUUGAGGGGGCCUCUAUGCAUUUUUACCUUUCUUGAUUGAUUUGGGGUAAAAACAUAUGGAACUCACCUAAACUAUGACCCAUUUUGAUUUGACUACCUAACCUUUAAGAAUUUUUUUUUAAACUGACUAAUCUUUCAAUUUAUUUGAUUUGAGCUAUUUGGUAACUCUUUUUCUUCAAACUCCAGAUGUAAUGUUUAUUAUAAUAGACUUAAUUAGAAUAUUUAUGUGCGAUUCACAUGACUACAUUCUUAUUAGGGCCUGUUUGGUUCACAGUUUGUAAUAUUCUAGAAAUCCUCCAUAUUUUCUAUUGAAAAUAUUCAAAUCAGUACCAUUCAACUCAAGUUGGAUAGUUGUAAAAGGUUUUAAUGAAGUAGUGGAAUUAUUGUAGAUUUCUAGAUGGUAGGAAUACAAGAUUGUCAUGGGUUAGGAGGUAUCCUCAUUAUAGGAAUUAUUAGCAGUCCAUUAAUAAAAAUAUACUAGUUCUUAACAAUCUCUCCCCAAGUGGAUUGCUGGCUUGGUUAAUUUAACAUAGUUGACAUUCCUAAUAUAAAAUAUACAACAUUUUCGGAAUAUUACAAACCUUGAACCAAGCGGCCCCUUAAAGUAAGCAGUAUGCUCAGCUUUUGGAAGAGAAAAGUAACCAAAUGACUUAAUUCAAACCAAUUUAAACAUGAGGCACCAAAAUUAAAACUUUUAAAGGCUAAGUAGUCAGAUUAGGACAGGCCAUAAUUUAGGCAUGUAAGUUCCAUAUGUAUUUACCUUUAUUUAUUUUAUGGUAUCUUUUCAUUUUCUGUCUAGUGAUGUUGAAAGUUAGGGGAAAAGUUCCGAGCGCGACCUAAACUUUGCCUGGAUUGCAAUUCACCACCUGAACUAUAAAACAUUGAAAUUAGGUUAAAAAUGAACUGACCUGAAGUAUGGCCCAUUUAUAAGACAACCCAAAAUUUGAAACUUUUGAUUUUACUACCUAACCUAUCUGUUUACUUUGGUUGAAGCUAUUUGGUGACUCUUUUUGCAACGUAAUUAUGUGUCGUUUGUUUUAGAAGACUUGUUUGGUGUAUUUCAUUUGAUUUAUGUGGUUGCACUCUUUCUAAAGUAGCUCAAAUUUUAUGAAAAAAAUAAUCAUCAAAUGACACAAAUCAAAUGGAUUGGGAGGUUAGGUAGUUGAAAGUAAAGCUUUUAAAGGUUAGAAAGUCAUCCGAAAACAGGCUAUAGUUUAGUUCAGUUUCAUAUUUGCCUAAAAUUUACCAUCUAAACAAGCAUCCUGUUGCAAUCCACCACAAAGUCUCUUUUUUUGUCAAUUUGCCUAGACAUAUGUUAGAAAAAUUAUUUAGCUAGUUGAACACAAGAAAGGGCAAGGCAGUCGUUUCACUCGAAACGUGACUCAUGUGCCAUCACACGACUACCGAACAUCUAACAAAUUGACAAAAAUAUAGGCUUUGUGGUGGAUUGCAGUGGAAUUAUUCUUUAGGUAUGGUUCGGGCAAAGAUUAGGUGAUUUUCGGGUUUUCUAGCCCUGAAAUUAUGUUCAAGAGCUAUACUACUGUUGCAAUCCAAUUACAUGUCAGAAGUUAUAGAUUUAAUUCAACUUUAAUUACAUCUGGAAUGGAGAAUAAUUGUGAUAUUUCAUCAUCUAAUUCAUGCUGUGUUGAGUUAAUAUAUAUAGUUCUUGAUUGUAGCUGCAGGUUUUUAGUUAGGAAAAUUAACAUAUGCAUACACCUUAGACUCGAUAACUUAGGGCUUGUGGUAUCUUAAGAAAGUAGCAAUUGAUUUAAGUGCUUUAUUAGUUUGUAUUCUUCAUAACAGUGCGAAGAAAUUGGGAGCGAGCUGCUUUGUAUCAGAGCUUCUGAUGAGCUUAAGUUUUAGGGAGAACGGCAAAAAGCCUCUGGUGAUAUAGUGCGUUUGCAGUUUAUACCACACUGGUUUAAAGUAUAGUCUUGAUGCAGCAUUUUGCUACCCUUUUUAACAGCAAGGCAUUUUGGGAAACUAAAAUCAUAUGGGGCGGGUAGAUAUAGGAUGUGGAGGAUCAUAAAAUGAGUGGUUUGACAGAUUUGGAUUCCUAUAUAUCCACAAAUCUAUUGAGUUGCUUGCUUAUACUGAUUUCUUUUUUCUUUUGAAUCUUUGGGUUGCGUAUGUUGAUUUAGUCAAAGAAUCUAAUUUUCUGCUGUAUUUAUAAUCUUCGAAAAUAAUAGUAACUUCUGAAAACAACAAAAGGACAUCGAUGCUGAAGAAACCUUAUUUUCCAUAUCCUAAACCAACUAGCAGGAGAGCAAAAUGUUACAUAUAUCAUAUAUGUGCUGAUGUCAUUUUUUAUAAAUAAUUCUUAGACUUGUUCACCUUCGCUCAUUCGUCAAUAAUGUGGUUAAGUACUCGUCAAAUGCAAUUGUGUGCAACUUAUUUAAUUUGCAGGCAGAGGUUGAUAGAUGCAACUUAUGAAAUAGCAACAAUAUGGCUUGACUAUGAGUCUUCUAGGUGAUGAUAUAAUCUAAUUUUGUGGAUGAUGGUUUCAUGUUGAAUCGUUGAUGCAUGACAACCCCUUCACUCGCCUGUUAUUAAUUGUGCAUACUAGCAGGCAAGACGAUCCUAGUGAAUAAGUUUUCAUUGCAAAUGCUUCAUUUUCAACAUACUAAUAUCUAUUUCCUCUUUAGAGCAAGAUACAUGAUCAUUUAGUUCAUUAUCUGCAUAGUUAGCCAGGAAAGCUUCACUUCGUCUUAAACUGUGUUCUACUUGUUUGUUUGUUACAAUUCUUGUCAACAUACUAAUAUCGAUUUCCUCUUUAGAGCAAGAUACAUGCUCAUUUAGUGCAUUAUCUACAGAGUUAGCCAAGAACGCUUCACUUCUCAAACUUUGUUCUACUUGUUUGUUACUAUUUUGUACCUGAUUUUUCUUUGUAAUUUUCUAGGUUCGCAUGCUGUUGUUGAGUUGGAUGAAGAUGUGAAGAUGGCUUUGCUACUGGAUGAUAUAAAUGCAUACUCUUUUCUGUACCCUGUUGAAUUGCCUGCGAAGAAAUUUUCCUUUAAGUGGUAAUUUUCAUAAUUCAUCUGCUCCGUCUAUCAUAGUUUGGUACUAUUUAUUGCUUCUUUUUGUUGAUUCAUUUACUUCUUAUCUGUGCUUGAAGUUUUAUAUAGUAUUUUACUGAAAUUCUUCGCGGCAACAUGAUACUGAUCUAAUAUCGAAAAUUGAAUCAAAAGAUCAACUUAAAAAUGAUUAUUAUCUUCUCAUUUCAGGAAGAAAAUGGAAUUCAGAUAAUGUCAACUUCUAUUUGAUCUGUUUCAAUUGCAUUAAAUCAACCAGAAUAUGUCUUCAGUAAAGCUGCAUUUCUAGAGUUAAAGACCGGUCCAGAAAACAAAUUCUCUUGAUCGGUUGAUCUCCUAUUGACACUCCCCUGCAUUCUCCACCCCCUCUUUUUCUCUGGCAGUGUUGCCGGUUACUGCAUAAAUAUCGGUUUACGAAAAAAAAAAUGAUAUUGCAUAUUUUAUUAUCUUAUGGUUGGAGCUGUUGUUGUCUCGAUUGUUCCUUUGCUACAUUGAUUUUGAAUUAGUGGCUUACAUUUUUCCAUGUUGCAUUUGGUAGAUGCGAUAACAUAAAGAUCUUUUCCUAUGUUAAGUUGAUCAAAUCUAGCUAUUUUUCUUCUGUUUGCAGGGUAGAGUCCAGAAAGCCGGAAAGAUACUCAUCUGCUGCACCAUUAUCACGUGAGCUCCAUAUCUCAUUGAACAUUGAUGUUGAGUAUUGCUGCCGUUCAGUUGCAAUACUUUGACUUAGUUAUUUAAUCAUUAUUCUGUUUCAGUUCUCUAGACCAUUAGCUUUUUGAAUUCUUUGUAACAUUUAGUGUCAACAAAAAUUGUUACUAAUUAAUAUAUUACAUGUUAUGCAGCUGAUGCGCGACAACGCAUUGUCUCUGAGCGUGUUGACAUGAUCAAUAACCUUGUCAUCUCUGUCUCGGUAUACAUGGAAAUAACUGUUCCUUCCAUAAAAAAGUAGAGUAUAUUUACUAACAGAAUCCUAUGAAUUGGUAGCUUAAAUAUAUAACCCUGUAAAUUCUGCUUUUUCAGAUACGCGCUUAAAAGAUGUUCUUUUAUAUAUGCCUUCGUACUUGCAGAAAUUUCCCUCUGCAAUAAAUGGUUAUACUAUGAAACACUGCUUUCCUUUGUAUUUGAUGAAAUUCCGACCUAUAAGUAAGGCUGUUUUGGGAAAAAAAACUACAUUUCAAUGGUUAUUUAAGAAAAUUCGCCUUUUGCGCAGAACACAGUAGAGAAAUUUAUAUGUAAUAGAUGAUUUUUGCAAGCUAAAUAUGCAAAGGCCCCUACAUUUCUAUUCAGCUUACCAUUGUGUUGUUUUAACUUCCUACAAGUUGAUCAUGCUAGUGCCGAGCAAUAGAGCCUUCUGAUAUUUUUACCUGCUAACUUUGAUUAAGUUGUAAAUGCUCCUGUUCCUUAUAAAAAAACCCAUUUUGAGUAGACAAUUUCUCCUGAUUAAAUCUGAGCUCUUUCCACCAUCUCAGUUCGAGAUUUUUAAUUUUUAUUCUUUGUUGCAGGUUGGUCCUCUGAAUUCACGCUUCCUAACUUCAAAUGACAAGAGUACGUGGAAAGCAAAAGAUGUUGCUGAUUCUGUUCUAUCUGAUAAAUCUGCAUUGGUAUUCAAUUGCUAUAUCUGCAUAAAGUAUCGAGAGAUCUCAAUAUAUGUGAUAAGCAACCUGCAUUCACAACUAUGAUUUAAUAAAGGUUUACAUGUUAGUGAGCUUUCUUGAAGUACACCGAAACAGAUCCUAUAAUUUGGAAAUAAUGGAACUAGUAUAAAUUACGUAGAUUUCCAUAUUAUAUUGAGUAGUACUGCUUGUUUACAUUGAUUGAGGAACUUCUUUUGCAGCGUGUAACAACUAGCCAGCGCAUGGCUGAGAGUUCAGUUCUUGAUGCACAUUCCACAACUGUAAGAUUUUGUCGACAUAUGAGUUGAUCUCACUUUCCUUUCUAAAAGCAUUUGCCUUUAUAUUUAACUGUUACACUAAUAACAUAAUUGUACUGUAGGUUGAUGGUGAACCAUACUGGUAUUAUGAGUAUCUAGUUCGAAAAUCACCAACAAAUUCUGUGAGUCCUCGUAUAUCUCUUAAGUGUCUGGUUCUUGUUACUUUGUUUUCCACAAUUUCCACUAACAUAUUAAAUUCGCGUAUAGGCAGGUAAAUGGUACUCAUGAUAAUUUAUAAUUUCUCAGGUGCAAGAGCCAAAUUUGUACCGGCACAAUGUGGCAGCCACUGCUGAGCGAGAUGGUAUUAUUAGCUCAUGAACUUCUAUUUCUUUGCGUUUGUUUCAUUGAUUUUAAUCCAACUCUAGGCUCACCAUAGAUAACAACAUUAGCCAAAAAAAAAAGCUACGUUGUGCUAGUUCAAAAAGCUACAUAUAUACUGAAAUGCUGUUGUGCAAUCUUGUUUCUAUUUGUUAUCGUGAUUUUCUUGGUUUCUUUGAUAAUUUAUGUGACAAUCCUGAACCAUAGAGACCACUUAAACUAGUGAAAUUUGCAAACCUAGCAUCCUCAUUUUCUUUUUCUUUCUAUGUUUUGGUGAUUUUCUCUUCUUUACUUCUUUUUUUUUUUUAUUUUUUCUUUUUAAACUGCAUCCAUACGGCUCUCAUAUGGUUCCAUUCUGAUCAGGCUAUCUUUACUCACUGAAUGCUUCAACUCUCAGCAAGCAAUGGGAAAAAGUAAGUUGUUGCAUAAUAGAUAUCUCUUUUGGUUGUUAGUAUUUCCUUAACUUUCUUUGAGGUGCAGGAUUUUAUUUUGGAUUAAAUACUAGUAUAUCUCUGUUAAAGUAUUAUAUGCAUUCCUGAUUGGUAUUAUGCGUUUGGUUGGCCUUUGUGCUUGCACCUGUGUUUGCGGCACGCAACUGCAAGGCCAAGCCUUUUUGAGAAAGCUCCGAUUUCAGAGCUUUCUCAAAAAGCUCUGCUAACGGGCUGCACUGCUUGGCCAAACAUGGCCUAUGUCAUCUAAAAUUUAAUUUUGAUGUACUUUACAGUUUAUGACCAAUGUGGUCUAAGUUUGUUGUCAUGUUGAUUAAUAUAACAUCGCAGUUGGGUUUGAUCUUAAUAACCAUCAUGAUGCUUAUGUACACGGUGACAUGGUCUUGAAGUCUAGCUUUUGUGAUGGUAAUUUUGCAUGGUAGAGGUUGAGAGCAAGGUCGGAAGUCAAAUAGGGAAAACAUCAUCCAGAUGAGACUAACCUCACUGGUUCUUAUGAGUGAUUGAUACCGUAUUAGAAUUUAUGAGUGAUUGAUACCGUAGUAGGAUUAGAUGGCAUAAAAAAGCAAGGAAUCCAUGAGGAGAAAUAUAAUUAAACUUGGUUGGUACGUCCAGCAAGGAUCAGUUAGGUAGAAUUUUAAGGCUGUUGUGACCUCUUUCUAUCGCAAUAAAUGAUUUUCAGUAGUAGCUGGAACAUCUUUUCAGUGAAAAAUCUCCUGGACUGGUUUAACAGUUUACUUUUUAUACUAUGCUAAAGAGAUAGAAGGACAAAGAUGUUUGGUCAUUGAAGGUCUUCGGAGUCUUGACCUUAGCCUGCUCUAGCUUUUAACAAAGUUAUGCCAUAAGUUCUUGGAUAAAUUUCACUACCCAUUAGAUGGUUCCGUUGUAUCACUUAGGUAUCCUAUAGUUACUAUAUCUAUUUUUUUUGAAUGAACUUAUUUCCUUCCAUCAAAAGUAAGCAUGUAACUGUCCCGUACACCAAUAAAACACGUAGAAACCAUCUGAUCUGUUGUGUGGGGAUGGCGAGUGAACCAGAGAGGGUCAAAUGCUAGUAUUUGUAAGAGAUUUCGAAUCGAAAUCAGGGAAGAAUUUGGUAAUUUGAGGGGAAUCAAAGGUCCCUAUGGCUGAUAGAAUUAGUUUCUGGUUGUUUAUAGAUGCAUGCGCCAGUCACUUGAUUAUUUUUAAUAGACGAUUAAUUGGAGUUAUUUAAAGGAAACUAGAGCAGUAACCACAGGGCUCGUAUGUGAUCGGAAUGAAACUACAGUGUAACAAUGUGAAAAUAUGCUAAAUCCUGUGUGGGAGAGCAAAUUCAUACAAAGUGUUGAUGUCUUCAGCCUUUAACUAGUACCUUAUAUUUUGCGAUUAUGCAGAUGGGGCCUUUUCUAGAGAGAACAGUGGCAUCUUUUCGCCUUCUCCCGCCGACGGAGAACUAUGUCCCGCCGUACAAGGACCCAUGGAGAUUUUGGUGACAAAGAGCCCUCGUUUUGCCUUAUCCACCUAUUUUCAUCUUUCUGCAUACUUUUUUGCUCCGAAGGCCCUAUUUGAAUGCUGGAAUAAGUUAUUCAAUGAUAUUCUAUUUGGUACGAGGAUUUUUAAUUAUGAUUGGAAGCUAGGAGUGUGAUCAAAUGUCUAUAAUGGAAUAGCAUAUUCGGUCAUCGAGUCAUUUUUUCCAAAAUGAGGUAAAUAACAUCAUAAGUGAAAUAUGCUGCUAACCUUUCGAAUAGCGAAAAUCAAACUUUUUUCUUACAAUCAUAAGAAAAAAUCCUCAUAAUAAGUAAGUUAUCAUCGAACAACUUAUUCUGAUAUUCAAACAGGCUCGAAGUGAAGUAGUGAACAAAAAUUUUAAUGAGGUGCUGCAAGGCUGUGAAGUGAACAACAAUUUUGUGAGGCAUCAGUUUGGGCUUCUUUUUCCUUUUCUGCCUCCAUGGCUUGUAAAGUGAUGUUUAUGAUAUGUGUACAUUUAUGACAGGCCAUCAAGUCUCUAAGAUAAGAAAUUUUGUUUUUCAAGGCAGUAAUGUAUGAAACACUAGUCACCACUUUUGGCUUCUAUUUUGUUAUGGUCUGUUAAGAACUCUUUUAUGUUGCUGCAGACAGUGAGGAGAGGAUUUUAACAAAUUAUAGCUGAUCUUGAUCUUGAUCUUGGUUGUUUUAUUAGACCAUUAAACAAGCGAACGCCUUAUGUCAAAUUUGAGAAUUAGCGAGAUCGACUCCUAGAAUUAUAAUAGUAUUUAUUCGGUUCGAUUCCAGUUUCUCUUGUAAUCCGAAACUAACCGAACCAUUUCCGCUCCUGCUCAUUGUGAGCAAAAGUCAUCUUCAGUUGAUAUACCAUAGUAUUUUGAGAAUGACACACAAAAACCGCACCUGUGGACUCUGCAUAUAGUAUCUAAAAGAUAAAAGUAAGUUUUAUCGUGCGCCGGGUGCACCAUACAUAUCCUAUUUUUUUCUCCCCUAAAUUUUGUUAUAACUUUGUAUAUAUAUAUAUAUAUAUAUAUAUAUAUAUAUAUAGAGGGCCUCUGUGCUUGUAAGUUGUUUUCGAUUAUAGGACAUCCGAUUUGACGAUCCGCUCCAUUAAGCAUAAUCUACGCUAUUGGAACUAUCCAGAAACCAAAUUUUAUAAUUUUUCGACAUCAUUUACCAAGCGAUCACAGGGUCUCAAAAAUGACUAUUUUAACGGCCGAUGUGGCACAUUUUUAAAUUUAACGGUGUAGAAGUUUCCAAAUUAUAUGAAAUUUUAAUAAAAAAUUCUACUUAACAUUAAGAGUAAGAACAAUACUUUCGAUUUGAAAUUUGAGUCUUUUAUCACUGUUUUUUAUGAGAUUUUUAUUUUCAGCCGUUCAUUUGAGGCUACUCGUUCACUAGGCAAAUAAAGUCAAAAAAUUAUGAAAUUUGGUUUCUAGAUAGUUCCAAUAGUGUAGAUCAUGUUUAACGGAACCGAUCGCCGAAUCGGAAGUCCCAUCAUCGAAAACAACUUACAAGCACGGAGGCUUCCGUACUUUCGAAAGCAUAAGAGCCUAACUCUAUAUAUAUAUAUAUCUCUAUAUAUGUUUACUAACCCCUAUGUAUAUAUCUCUGUAUAUGUUUACGAACCCCCUUUUAUUUGGCAGAUGCUACAAUCCCCCCUCGCUUGAGAAGAUUCGCGACCUCAAGGAUCGAAGUCCAGGAAUUGGAAUUUCAAGAACCGAUAGUCUUCCCAGCUCGCGGCCUCCUUUCCGAGGUUCUCGCACUCGACCCGCACUUGGCUUACUGCUUGAUUUCCCCUCCUGAUCAUAUGUCGGUCCAANNNNNNNNNNNNNNNNNNNNNNNNNNNNNNNNNNNNNNNNNNNNNNNNNNNNNNNNNNNNNNNNNNNNNNNNNNNNNNNNNNNNNNNNNNNNNNNNNNNNNNNNNNNNNNNNNNNNNNNNNNNNNNNNNNNNNNNNNNNNNNNNNNNNNNNNNNNNNNNNNNNNNNNNNNNNNNNNNNNNNNNNNNNNNNNNNNNNNNNNNNNNNNNNNNNNNNNNNNNNNNNNNNNNNNNNNNNNNNNNNNNNNNNNNNNNNNNNNNNNNNNNNNNNNNNNNNNNNNNNNNNNNNNNNNNNNNNNNNNNNNNNNNNNNNNNNNNNNNNNNNNNNNNNNNNNNNNNNNNNNNNNNNNNNNNNNNNNNNNNNNNNNNNNNNNNNNNNNNNNNNNNNNNNNNNNNNNNNNNNNNNNNNNNNNNNNNNNNNNNNNNNNNNNNNNNNNNNNNNNNNNNNNNNNNNNNNNNNNNNNNNNNNNNNNNNNNNNNNNNNNNNNNNNNNNNNNNNNNNNNNNNNNNNNNNNNNNNNNNNNNNNNNNNNNNNNNNNNNNNNNNNNNNNNNNNNNNNNNNNNNNNNNNNNNNNNNNNNNNNNNNNNNNNNNNNNNNNNNGGUUUACUACCGAUUUGUUUUUGAUGAUAGAGCUUCCAAAUCGACGAUCGGCACCGUUGAACAUGAUCUAGACCAUUUAAAUGAUCUAGUAAUCAAAUUUCAUGAUUUUUUGGCAUCACUAACUAAACGAUCAAAGGGUCACAAAAUCUAUAAUUUUAAUGGCCAAUAUGGUGAGUUUGCUCGUUUAACGAUAUAGAAGAGUUCAAAUCAAUUAAAUUUUUGUUAAAAAAUUUAUUAAACUAUUUAAAAUAAGAUCUAGAACCUAGAUCUCAAAUAUAAAAAUUGUAUCAUCACUUUUUGAAGGAUAUUCAUUUUCAGCCAUUCAUUUUUCUGUUCACUUGAUGGACAAGAGAACAAAAUCGAAAAUGUGUAAAAUUUGAUUUUCAGAUAGUUUAAAUAAUUUAGAUCAUGUUUAACGGUGCCGAUCAUCAAUUUGAAAGCUCUAUUAUCGAAAACAAAUCGGUAGUAAACCGAGCCGUUUACUACCGAUAGUAUUCUAGCAAAACUCUAUAUGAGUUUGACUGGGCUACUAUCGGUAAUAAACGAUUUGUUUUUGAUGAUAAAGCUUCCAAAUCGACGAUCGGCAUUGUUGAACAUGAUCUAGACCAUUUAAAUUAUCUAGAAAUCAAAUUUCAUGAUUUUUUGGCAUCACUAACUGAACGAUCAAAGGGUCACAAAAUCUAUAAUUUUAAUGGCCGAUAUGGUGCGUUUGCUCGUUUAACGGUAUAGAAGAGUUCAAAUCAAUUAAAUUUUUGUUAAAAAAUUCUUUAAACUAUUUAAAAUAAGAUCUAGACUCNUAGAAAAUUAUUUUUACUAUUUAGAGUAAGAUCAGUACCUCUGAUCUUAAAUUUAAGUUUUCUAUCAUAAUUUUUUAUAAGAUUUUUAUUUUCAGCUGUUCAUUUUUAGACUACUCGUUUGAUAGGUAAAUGAUUCCGAAAAGUUAUGAAAUUUAGUUUCCAAAUACUUUCAAUAGUGUAGAUCAAGUCUAACGGAGCCGAUCGUUGAUUUGGAACUGGCAUCAUUGAAAACAACUUUGUAGCAUGGAGGCGUCCGUGCUACCGAUAGUAUACUAGCCUAGCUCUCUCUCUCUCUCUCUCUCUCUCUCUCUCUAUAUAUAUAUAUAUAUAUAUUUUUUGAGAGACAUGUACCAUGCUACCUGCUUCAUUUUUUUUUUAGAAAUAAAUUUAACUGAAAAUGUGAAUCAACUACGGUUCGAACUUGGGACCUCGGAUAAUAACCACCAAGCCUUUUGCCACUUUCACUGGGGACGUAGGUUUAGGGCUGAUAUUUUGACUUUAGGGUUUAGGGUUUACAUUUUAGGGCUUAGGUAUUAGGGUUUACAUUUUAGGGCUUAGGUAUUAGGGUUUUAGGGUUUGAUAUUUGAGUUUAGGAUUUAGGACUUACAUCUUUGUUUGGUUCGAGGUUAAGGGGGGGAUAACCCCUUAACCCCGAAGUUAAUCCCUAACCGGGGUGGGGUUAACAAACCCCACCCUUAUCAAGUUAUCGGGUUAAACCCACACCCCCACCCUCCUCCCCUCCGAUGGAAUUGGGGGGGGAUUAACUUUAAUCCCACCUAGAGAUGUCAACGUGUCGGAUUCAGGGUGGAUUUUCAAAAACCCGAACUCGAAUCCGACUCCAAACCCGAGAGCCAAAUCCGAACGCGAACCCGAACCCGACGGAUUUUAAAAAUCCAUAUUCAAACCCGAACCAGACCAAAAAUUUGAAACCCGAACCCGAACCCGAAAAUUUGAACCUGAAACAAUUAUUUUUUUUUACAAUAUUUCAAAAUAUAUUAUAUUAAAUCUUAAUUUUUAAAAUACAAAUUCAAAUAUAACAUCUAAUAUAUAUAUAUAUAUAUAAUUCAAAAUAAAUUUGGGUUCGGGUUCGGGUUCGGAUCGGGUACAGUCAAAAUUCAUAUCUGAAUCCAUGUCCAUUGGGUUUCUAUUUUUACUAUCUAUAUCCAAAUCCAUAUCCAUUUAGUAUCGGAUAUAUCUAUUUCAUACGGGUUCGGGUUCGGAUAAACUUUUGGAUAUCUAAACCCAUUGACAUCCCUAAUCCCACCCCAAUUCAAAUUUUUAAUUUAAAUUUUUAAUUAAAAUUUUAAAUUUGAUUUUUUAAAUUUAAAUUUGUAUUUUAAUUUUUUUAAAUUUAAAGAUUUGUAAGCUUAAAAUUUUGACAUUUAAUUUCAAAUUAUUAAUUUUAAAUUUUAAAUUUUAAAUUAUUAUUUUUAAUUUUUUAAAUUUAAAAUUUAGUAUUUGAUAUUUUUAAAUUUAAAUUUAAUCAUAAAUUUAAAAAUUUAGAACUUCAAAUUUUUGAAUUUGAGAUUUAAAAAUUAAUUUUUAUUUUGAAUUUUUAAAAUUUUAAAGUUAUUAAUUUAAAUUUAAAAUUUUAAUUAUAAAAUUUAAAUAUUUAAAUUUAAAUAUAAAGUUAUUUUUUUAUUUAUAACAACUCAUUAUCCUUCUUAUCCCAUCUACUCCAACCAAAUACUAUUUUAUUUAUAUCUGGACUAAACCCAAUUCUCAACCAAAUACAAAAUCACUCUAACCCUACCUUAACUCUGAACUUAACCAUAUCCCUGGAAUAACUAGUUCUUACUUAACCCCGAACCAAACGAAUAGGGUUUAGUGGGUGGUUAAUUGAAUAGUAUGAUCCAAACAAUGAAAUUGAUUAAAGUAUAGAUCUAACAGCUAAAAAAUCGAUAGCAACAGAGUCCAAAUACUAUUAAUAGUAUUCCAGCUCAACUCCAACGGCUACAAUCUUAUUAAUAGCACAAAGCACUUGAUGCUACCAAGUUUUUCGCCGUUAGAUCUAACUCUUUGACCAUUUCAUCCUUUAGAUGAUACUAUUCCACCAAUCACCCACUAAAUCUUAGGGAAUUAUUAUCAUCCUAAACACACAUCCCUGCAUUCAAGGGCCGAAAAUCUAAGAACACUAAUGAAUUGUUACUAUUAAUAGUAUUCUAAUCAAGUUCUAUACACAUUUGUAUAUAUAAGUUAUAAACAGGUUAACCUGGUUUCACGGAUGAACCUGAAUACAAACUGUUUAAUAAACAGAUUAAUUUGUUUCUGAUUCAAUUCAAUCUCAGCUAAACCCAAAUAGCCAACUUUUUGUUGGACCGUUUCGGAUUGAGAGGAAAUAGUGACACUCCUAAUAAAUUAAGAUUACGAAAUAUCAAAAUAUUUUACUUUCCAAUCAUGUUUAAUCAAAUAACCGCAACAGAGCCAAGCCAUAAAAUUACUUUCCCUGGUAGAUACGAGGCUGUACAAUACCUUCCCCAUUCCACUCUUACUCGGAAUAGUUUUCAUUAUAAUAGUUAUUAAUUACGUAAUUGAAUAUAUUUCAACAUAACUAUACUUGCUCCGCAGAAGAAAAAAAAAUAUAUAUAUAAUAUAAUAAUUACACAUUAAAUAAUAUUUUUAAAAAUAUUUUUUUUUGUACUUUUAUACAAUAGAGAGAUUUAAUAUAAUGCUGUAAAUUAGGUGUGUUACAACUUACAACUGUCACGGAGUAUGCUUUGUCCCCUCGUGUCGCCUGCACUCAUCCUUUGCCAGCUGCAACUAGGGAAGUGAACGUACAUCUCCCUACAAUUUAUCCCUGCACUUGGUACAUGGAUAUAUCCGUGGACCACCACCUAUCAACCAUUCAGUAAAUAUUAUAUUUAUAUUUCAAUAAAUUGAGUAUUGGCUUUUCAAAUCGGUUUCGAGUAGCUGAUGAUGGAUAGAUUUGAUCCAAUCUUUGAAUAAAAUGGAUAAUCAUACCGUAUUAUUAUUAGAGUUGUUUGGUUGUACGUAGUUAUAACUGCACUGCGAUUAGAACUACAUGCAUAUUCAAGUCCGGUGCUUAGUUUGGUGCAUUUGAAUUUAAUGCUGCAGUUGGAACUACAGGAAGAACCCAAUUGUAAAGUUAGAACUAUUUACAAAUUGGCUAUAAUUUCAACUGUAGCAAUUGAGUUGAGCGACUUAAAAAAAAGAAGAAGAUAAAUUUACCUAUAUAAUUUCUUUUUAACGAUAUAUAUAUAUAUAUAUAUAUAUAUAUAUAUAUAAAGAGAAAGAAUUAGGCUAGUACAUUCUUAGAAGUAUUGGGCUCUUCGUACUUCCAAGUCGUUUUUGAUGAUUAGACUUUUGAAUCGACGAUUGACUCCGUUAGACUAAAUCAUAUUCGAAGUAUCUAAAAAAUAAAUUUCAUAAUUUUUUUAUAUCAUUUACUUAGUAAUCGAAAAGGCUCAAAAUCAAGGGCUGAAAAUAAAAAUCUUACAAAAUGUGAUGAUAUGUCACUAAAAUUUUAAUUUUAGAUCAAAGAUGUUGAUCUUGUUUUAUAUCGUAUAAAGAAUUUACCAUCAAAAUUUUAUAUAAUUUAGAUAUUUCUACACCAUUAAACUUAUAAACGGCUUACUACAACCAUUAAAAUUGUUGAUUUUUGAGUUCUUUCGAUCACAAGGCAAAUGAUAUAAAAAAAUCACGAAAUUUAUUUUUUAAGUACUUCAAAUACUCGGGAUCUAGUCUAAUGGAAUUGAUUGUCGAUUUGAAAGUCCCGACAUUGAAAACGACUUAGAAGCACAGAAGGCUUUGUGCUUCUUAAAGCAUACCAGCCUAACCCACAUAUAGAGUUAUAUAUUUAUAUUGGAGUUAAUCCUAUCUUCGCAUAUAUGAAGUGAUAAAAUUUUCGUAACACCUUUUUUAAUUGCAUGAAACCAAACAAAUAAAUGAUAAUUACAAUAUUUUCUAUUACAUCGAACCAAACAAGACACAUAUAGUUGUAAUUGCUACAUUUCCAACUGCGUAUAUUUUCAAAUAUAUUGCAUUUCUAAUUUUAUUUUAUUAUCAAUUAGUGGAUUCAGCCUAAUUUAACAAUUCAUUAGGCGAAGACAAAACUAAUUCGGAAUAACAAGCCUCCCAACGAGCCAUUAUUGCUGGAGAACUACCCCACUCUUUUAAUUAGUUUUAUCCCUUCAAACUAAGGAUGUUAACGGUUCGGAUUCAGAACGAAUUUUUAAUAACCCGAACCCGGCAAAAAAUUUAGAACUUGAACCCGAAUCCAAAAUAAUGAUUUUUCUUUUUAAUAUUUCAAACUAUAUUAUGUUAAAUCUAAAUUUUUAAGAGACAAAGUCAAAUAUAACAUCAAAUUUUAAUGGCCAAUUUGCAUAAAAAAUUCACUUAUUUUGGACUUUUGCAAAACCGUGCCACCUUUUUUUUUUUUUAUAGAUUCGGUCCGCUUUUUCAGCAAACUGACCAAAAUACCCUUAUACCUUUUUCUCUCUCCUCUUUUUUUUUUUUUUCUCUUCGACUCUCCUCCACUGUCUCCGACGGCGACGCCUCUCUUACCCUCCUUCGCCUUUCUCGUCCUCUCCCUCUCCCUCCUCCUCUGCCGCCUCCGACGACGAUACAUCUUCACCGGCGCUGACGCCGACGCUGACACCGUGGAGGUCACUGUGGCGCUACAGCCUUGGAGAGGGGGGUCCUCAGCGGGAUCGUUGCCGGCACCGUGGCCGUUGGCAGAGAGGGGUGACCAAAAAAUUAUAAAGAAAGCAAGAAAAAAAAUAAAGAUAAAAAAUUAUAGAAAAAAUGAUGAAGAUGAAAUUGCAUCGUUAAUUGAAAAAAAAAUUAUAAGUUGUAUUACUUAAAAUUUAAACUGUAGCUUUAAAAUGAAAAUUACACUUUUUAAACGAAAAUUACACUCUUUGGGAGAUAGUUUCUCCUCUUAUUGUACUCUUUCAGAUGUAAACUGCAUCCAUUAAGAUGAAAGUUACACUCUUUAAACGGAAGUUGUACUGUUUCUCCUUUUGUUGUACUAUUUUUCCUCUUGUUACACUAUUUUUUAUCUUAAACUGCACCACUUUAAGAGAUAUUUAUACUGUUUCUCCUCUUGUUGCACUGUUUCUCCUCUUAUUGUAUUAUUUUUCCUCCUGUUACACUAUUUUUAUCUUAAACUGCACCCUUUAAGAGGAGAAAUAGUGUAACAAGAGGAGAAAUAGUAUAACAAGAAAAAAACAGUGCAACAAGAGGAGAAACAGUAUAAAUAUCUCUUAAAUUGGUGAAGUUUAAGAUAAAAAAUAGUGUAACAAGAGGAGAAAUAGUGCAACAAGAGGAGAAACAGUGCAACUUUUAUUUAAAGAGUAUAAUUUUCAUCUUAGUGGUGUAGUUUAUAUCUGAAAGAGUGCAAUAAGAGGAGAAACAGUGUAAAUAUCUCUCAAAGAGUGUAAUUUUCGUUUAAAGAGUGUAAUUUUCAUCUUAAAGCUGCAGUUUACAUCUUAAGUAGUGCACCUUAUAAUUUUUUUCGCAGUUAACCAUGCAAUUUUAUCUUCAUCAUUCUUUUUCUAUAAUUUUUUAUUUUUAUUUUUUUUUCUUGCUUCUUUUAUAAUUUUUUUUGGUCAUCCCUCUCCACGACGCUGGCGACGAUGCCGCUAAGGAUCCCCCGCUCCAAGGCUGCAGCGCCGCAGUGACCUCCACAGUGUCGGCGCCGGCGUCGGCGCCGGCGAAGAUGCAUAGUCGUCGGAGGCGGCAGAGGAAGAGGGAGAGAGAGAGGGAGAGGACGAGAAGGGCGGAGAAAGGCAAGAGAGGCGUCGUCGUCGGAGACAGUGGAGGAGAGUCGAAGAGGAAAAAAAAAAAAGAGUCGAGGCGCAGCCUCGGCAGGGUCGGAGGCGAGGAAAGUGCGGGGGUGUGCAGGCGAGGGUAAGGAUGCGUAGGCAUAUUGUCGGCGCCGGCGAAGAUGCGUCGUCGUCGGAGGCGGCAGAGAAGGAAGGAGAGGGAGAGGACGAGAAGGGCGGGGAAGGCGAGAGAGGCGUCGUCGUCGGAAACGGUGGAGGAGAGUCGGAGAGGAAGAAAAAAAGAGUCGCGGUGCGGCCUCGGCAAGGUCGGAGGCGAGGAAGGUGCGGGGGUGUGCGGGCGAGGGUAAGGAUGCGCCGGACAAGCCGCCUCCUCCACCUCCGCCGCUCUCUGGGAAGAGAAAGAAAAAAAGAACGAGAGAAAAAAAAAGAGGAGAGAGAAAAAAGUAUAAGGAUAUUUUGGUCAGUUUGCUGAAAAAGCGGACAGAAUCUGCAAGAACGAAAAAGGUUGCCUGGUUUUGCAAAAGCCCAAAAUAAGUGGAUUUUUUAUGCAAAUUGACCAAUUUUAAUACAUAUAUUAUAUAUAAUUUAAAUAAAUUCAGGUUCGGGCUCAGGUCGGGUACAGUCAAAAUUCAUAUUUGAAUCCAUAUUCAUUGGGUUUUUAUUUUUUGAUAUUCAUAUUCGAAACUAUAUUCGCUUAGCGUCGGAUAAAUUUGUUUUGUUCGGAUUAGGAUUUUGAUAAGAUUACCCAUGGACAUCCAUACUUCAAACAGGUAGCGGACAAUGGCACCUACCUCACAUACGCCACUCAAUCAAGCCCACCUCCCUUAGUUCUCACCUGCUUCUCAUCGUAACUAAACUCACAGCAUCGAAGACUUGACUUGUUUAAUUAAACAAUCUUAAUGAUCUUCGAAAGGAGGAGUGCUUACAAAACGAUUCAAGAUCAGAGGAUUAACAGGCAGCAGCGCCGUCUCCUCGUCGCAACGGAGAGUCUGCGCAGUUUACAGCCCUUCUUCCAUCCGGGCUGUCUGUCAGCCGGUGCUGUAAACCGCACGACUCUUCGUUACGGCGAGCAGACUUGAUCUGGGUAGAAACAAGUAAGCGCGCAGGUAGCUUCCGAUAUAUUAAUUCAUCUUUACCUUUGGGCCCUGUUUGGUUAUCAAAAUCAGAUAUACAAUGAUAGCAUAUUCAGUAUACAAAAUUUUCUUUUACGAUUGAAAGACAAGUAUUCGAUUUUUCUUCUUUGAAAACUCUUGAUAUCUAUAAUUUUGUAGGAUAAUAUAUUUUACCCGCAUAGUAAUUUAUUUUCUUUUCUUGAAAAAAAUAAUUUGAAGGCCGAAUAAUAUACCAAAUAUAAGUUAUUUUAGGAUAAUUUGCUCCGACUUUAAAAUAAGGUCUAAGUGUAAAUCAAUCAGAUGUAGGGUUAGCAUUUGUGUUAAUUCGAUUGAUGCAAACGGCCACAUUAGUGGGCUAAUUAAUUUUAGUUGCACUUUUUUUUUUAACAAAAAAUUUGGGGCAAUUAAAAAUAAAUUCUUAUAAAAUUAGAAUUAAUAUUGCAUAUUUAUUAUAUGUAUUCCUACAAAAUAUUGAAAUUUGCAAAUACAUUCUUUGACUAGUCAGAGGGCUCCAUAUUUUAAUUAAAAAAACUAUUUUGCCCUUUCUCGACGCUCCUAUAAACACAGCAAUCAAAUAAUCUUAAGUGUUAUAGCUUGAUCCUAUCAUUACAAUUAGUUGUCAUUAGUGGUCACGAUAAGGAUAAAAUAGUCAUCAUAAUAUUAAAAUAAGAAAAAUUUUGGCUGGUCUAGAAAUAUAUUUACAAGUUUUAAAAUUUGCAGUAAUAUAUCAAAUAUUUUUUAAGUUCAAAGGAAUAAAUAUGAAACAUCCCACACUUUGUGGGGAUAUAGCAUAAAUUUCUAAUCAUGUAAUUAGUGGAUAAGUGUGGAUAGGCCACAUUUGGGUUUGUGGAGUUAGUGGCCCAAAUUGGUUGGAAAGAGGUCAAAGAAUUGGAUUUACUAGUUAGUGAGGUGAGUUAAUUUGUUUCCUAGAGGAAAAUGGAUACGUACCACUUAUGUUAACAGCUAAAAUUGUACACAAAUAAGCUUUGUGUAACUACUCUGACAUUAUUCUCAAACUUACGAAUUAAGCCUUUGACUUGUGGCAUUUAGUUCAUCUUUUAGGGACCGUUUGGUUAGAUGUAAUUAUAAAUGCAGUAUAGUUAGAGAUGCAUGUAGUUGGAAAUACAGCAGUUAUAACUAUAUGAAUCUUAUUUGGUUGGAUGUAGUAAAAAGCGCUGCAAGUAUAAAUAAUUUGUUUGGUUACAUGCAGUUAAUAAAUAAUUUUUAAAAUUUUAUUAUUUUAUAUAUAUGAUGGUGAGAUUACCUCCAAUGUAAAAAAGAAAAAUAAUUUUUGUUUAAAAAAUAUUGAGCAGGUAAGCAUACCUUUUAUUUAAAAUCACUCUCUCCAACGGCUGUAGUUGGAACUGUGACUAAUUUGGAUGUAGUUCGAACUGCUGUAGUUGGGCCUACUCCUGCAGUUUCUACUGUAGCAGUUGGAGUUAAAUACAUCAAAUCAAACACGAUAUAACGACCCAGCCCACUAGCAACAAUAACUCGUUGGGCCCAACUACAGCCCAAAGUGCUUAAACCCAGUUAUUAUUACUAGUGUCUAAGUCUCUUAUAAACCCAAUGACAACCCCAUUCCCAUCCGAUGUGGGACUAUUGGGGUGUCACAGACUCCCCCUGUUAAGGCCCUGACGUCCUCGUCAGUCCAAUCACACACCCCGGGUAAUGUGAGACUCAUCUCGCUAGCCCGUCAUCCAGACCCUGGCUCAGUCGAGACUCGCCACACAUGUCUAGCUGGUGAACCGGCUCUGAUACCAAAUGUAAUGACCCAGUCCACUAGCAAUAAUAACUCGUUGGGCCCAACAACUGGCCGAAAAUGCUUAAGCCCAGUUAUUAUUACUAGUGUCUAAGUCUCUUAUANUCUCUCUCUCUAUAUAUAUAUAUAUAUAUAUAUAUAGAAUAGGUUACUAUACUAUUUAUAGUACCGAAGCUCUAGUACUAUAGUCUUAUUUUCGAUUUUAGGGUGUUCAAAUUAAUGAUCCAUACCGUUAAAUAUGAUCUAGGGUAUAUGAAGUUCUUAGAAAUAAAAUUUUAGUUUUUUCAAACAUCGUUUACUUAGUAAAUAAAUUAUGUCAAAAUGGACGGUAGAAAUUGAAUAAUCUUUAAAUUUGAGAAUAAGACUUUUAAAUUCAAGAUCAAGAAUGUUAACCUUAAUUUAGAUAGUUUAAAAUAUUUUCUAUCAAAAUUUGAAGAAAUUUAUAUUCUUCUAUAUCGUUAAACUCAAAACUCGUGAUAGUAGCCAUUGAAAAUUGACAAUUUUGAAAUAAUUUGAUCAUAAAAAAUUAUGUCGAAAAAAUAUAACAUUUUAUUUCUAAAAAUUUUAAAUACCCUAGAUCAGUUUUAACGGUGUGGAUCGUUGAUUUGAAUACCCUAAGAUGAAAAACCAGACUAUAGUACCGGAGCCCCGGUAUUACAGAUAGUAUAUGUGUCUAGCUCUAUAUAUAUAUAUAUAUUUAUAUGUAGCUGUAGUUUGAGUACCUUUUGUUUGCUAUAGAAAAUUGUGUAUAUUUUAUUCCACUUGAAUUUUUCAAGAAUUAUUUGUAUCAAAAACAGUUGAUAAAAAUCACACUUUCAUGUAGUAAAUUAUAUAUAUAGGUAUUAUUCUUACAUAACAACAUUUUUGCAAUGAAUAUAUGAGUUUUAAAAGUUUGAUCAAAUAGCAGUAUUCGAGGUUAAAUAGCAAAAUCGAAAUUUUCAAAAUUUAUGCACCUAUCAAAAAAGGUGAAAAAUGAAUGGGCUUAUUUGAACUAUGAUUUAUUUUAAAAUAACUAUCUUCAUUUUGAAAUAACUAUCUAACUUUCAAUAAGUUUUGAUUUUGCUACUCAACGUUUCAAUUCAUUUGAUUUAAACUAUCUAAGAGCUAUAUUAUUACAAAAUUUGAUGCACCCUCAGUUUUAAUUGAAUUGUACUCCUAUAGAUUAUACAAAAUAUUCUAAAUAAUUUCAGUAAGAUUAGCGAUGUACUCAAAUUUUAUAUCGAAAAAGUCAAAAUAGUUAAAAUCAAGUCAAUUAAAAAGUUAGACUAUAAAAUUAAAUAUUUAGAUGAUUAUAUAUAUAUAUAUAUAUAUAGAAUUAUGCUACUAUACUGUCAAUAGUAUCAAGCCGUUGGUACUAUUGAGUUUUUGGCCGUUGGAUGAAAGGAUGUGCGAUUAGGAUGAUAGUGAUCCCUUAGGGUUGAGUGGUUGGUUGGUUUAAUAGUAUAAUCUAACGGGUGGAAAUGAUCAAAGGAUAGAUCUAACGGUAGAAAACUCAAUAGUACCAAAGACUUGGUACUAUCAAUAGUAUAGUAGCCGGACUAUAUAUAUAUAUAUAUAUAUAUAUAUAUACUCGGUUCGAUGGAGUAGAAAAUAUUGUUCUUAUAAAAAAAAAAAUCCUAUGGCUCCUUUUGGAUCGGAGAUAAAGCAAGGAUAACGAAAGUUAUUCCCGCUAUUCCAUCAAACGGGAUAUUUUUUGACUGGAAUAUUUUAUUCUCAUCAAAUCUUUCUAGUCUUGAGUAUCCCGGGAUAGCUUGGGAUAAACUAUUCCAUCUUUUGGGGGAAUAGUGUUAUUCCAAGAUUUAAUUCCAAGCUUCAUUAAGGCCCUGUUUGGAUCGCGGGAUAAGCGGGGAUAACGAAAGUUAUCCCCGCUAUUCCGCCAAACGGGAUAAAAUUUGGCCGGGAUAUUUUAUCCCGGUCAAAUCUUGCUAUUCUCGGUUAUCCCGGAAUAGCAAGGGAUUUGCUAUUCCACCAUUUUGGUGGAAUAGUGCUAUUCCAAUGCUUAAUUUCAAACUUAAUUAAACUUAUAAAUUGAAUUAAACUAAAUUAUAUAAAUAUAAUAUGUUAUGUUAUAUAUUAUAAUACAUUAUUUUUAUUAUAAAAUUAUUAAUUGUACUAUAUUAAUACAUAUUAUUUAUAUUUAAAUAUUAUAAUAAAAUUUAAUAAUAAAUUAUAUUUAAAUAUUAUAAUAAAUUCUUUUUAUUAAAUUUAAAUUUAAGUAGCAUUUUUAAAAAAUUUAUAAAUUUAUUAUAAUAAAUUAUUUUUAUUAAUUGUUCCCACCACUAUUCUUAUUUUAAAAUUUUAAAAAUUUAAAAUUUAAAAUUUUAAAAUUUAUAAUUUAUAAUCUCAAAAUUAAAGUUUAAAAUUUAAAUUAUAAAUUUUAAAUUAUAAAUUUAAAUUUUGAUAUUUUAAAUUUUUGAAAUUUAAAAUUUGAUAUUUGAUAUUUUUUAAAUUUAAAUAUGAUCUUAAAUUUAAAGUUUGAAAUUUAAAAUUUAAAAUUUUGAAUUUUAAAUUUGAGAUUUUAAAUUUCAAAGUUAAAAUUUUAAAUUUAGAAAUAUAAAUUUAAAAAUUUAAAAAUUCAAAUUCAAAUAUAAUAAGUGGAUAAUAUCAUUAUUUUUUAUUUACAAAACCUAUUAUCUUUCUUAUUCCAUCUUACCUAACCAAACGCUAUUUUUUUUAUUCCAGGAAUAACCCAAUUUUAAUCCAAACGCAAAAUUGAUCUAAUCCUCGCUUAUACCUCAAUUUAUACUUAUUCCAGGAAUAGCCACUUUUUUCUUAUCCCCGAACCAAACGAUACCUAAGAGUAUAAAUUAUAUUAAAACUAAAUUAUAUAGACAUAAUAUCUUAUAUAUUAUAAUAAAUUAUUUUUAUUAAAUUUAAGUUUAAUAGAGUUUGAAAAAAAAUAUUUUUAUGAAAUCAUAAUUUAUAAUAAAUUAUAUUUUGGUAAAUAUUAUAAUAAAUUAUUUUAUAACCAAUUAUUUUUAUUAAAUUAUAUUUUAUUUCAAAUUCAACCAUCACUAUCCUCUAUUAUACAUAAAAUUAAUCAAACACAAUUUCAGUUAUUCAUAAGAAUAGCAGCAUUAAUUACAGAUUAAACACAAUUUUAUUUUUAUUCUUAACUAUUCCGGAAUAGUUAGUUAUUCUAGAGAUAAAAAAAUUUAUCACAAUAUUCAUUAUUCCCGAACCAUAUGGGCCUUAAAUUGCACGGAAUCUAUCGUCUUGCCUUUAUCAUGUUUUGAGAUCUUACUGCCACAGUCUACCGAUCAUGUGCAGACGAUAUUAAUUGCACUCAUACAACCUAAACAUGCAUGUUUAGAAUUUCUUUGGCAUAGGCCUAGCUUCUCAUCCUAAUCAAUGCCGCCCUUUUGUUUGUAAUCUUUAACUACGUACCCAUCUCGCUCUGUACUUCUCACUAUGCGUCGCGCAUUCUUCUUUGCUCGGUAGACCCAUUUUACUCAAUAUCUUUUUGUCCAUGGCCCAUGGGGAAGUGUAGUCAACUCCCUUGUAUGAUUUGUUUUAAUAGCUUUGAUCUCAUCAUCCAUAGCUAGCAUAGCACGCUUCCACUUUUAUUACGAACGUACGACUCCUUCGAAAUCUAAAGGCUCAUAGUCAGCAAGGAAACAAAUAAUUAAGUUGUAAUUCAUUUGUUACCUCAUGAUCAUGAACUAUCAUCUAAGGAUAUUCUGACGAACUUGAAGAUGGCAGUAAGGUGGUGGUAAGGGUGUCGGUGAAGAUUCUUUCUGCUCCACCUCGACUGGCUCUUUUAAUUGGAUUUAUUCGAUAUUGUUCUUCCAAUCCUACGAGCUUUCUUCAUUAAACUCUGCAAGAAAUUACUGGCGUGAAAGAAAAAAGCAACAGAAAGAUAAUUUUGAAUUUCAAUUUUUUUAAAAGCCAAAUAUAUAUCACAAAUGAAAACUGAAAGCCAAGAAAUCAAUCCAAUUAAUGUCGAAAUCAAUCCAGUGCCGACGGAUCGAUCAUUCUUAUGUUACGUACUAUGCAAAAAAUUUAACCUAAAUAAAACUCUUAUGUUUAAAGAUCUUACCGUAGACCAGUUGAUCGCUUGAUCUAAAGUACGGUUGGUGGCGUAUGCUUCGAUCACUGUGCUGGGGUUCUGAUAUAGUCGCGCACGUGCCCGGCCUCUAUGCAUAUCUAUACGGAGUCGGCGCAUAUCCGAUUGAUCUUCAUCUCAUGAAGUGGAUGAGUCACGGACCAUCUAAAUAGUGCUAGCAGUCCUUUUGUGAUCCACUAGUCGAUGAAGAUUAGAGAAGUAGAUCAGAGAAAAACACGCACAAGGGAGAGAAAUUGCGAGAGAGGUUGAUCUUAUAUGUAUAUAUACAUCAACAUCCAACAUUCAUCUAAUUAAUCAAGUUGCAUGGCAUUUUAAUCAUAUCCAAUAAGAUUAUUUCAUAAAUAAUCUCAUUUAAAUAUCUUUUGUGAUUAAAUAUUAUCUACUAAUCUAAUUAGAGAUAAAUUUAAAUCUUGCGCAUAAUUCUCAAAUUGAUUCUAGGAUCCUAAUCCAAUUAGGACUAUCAGUAACAGUUGACUUGAAUAAUUAUCUAAUUUAAUUAAGCGGCUUUCUCUUAUUUUUAUUAUUUACGCUAAACUCUUUAGCGAACGACCCUCGUCCAUACGAUUCGGAUGCAUAUAAUUCCUAAUGUGUGUAACUGCAUAUGUUCAUUACCAUUUGUGUAAGGACUGAGGUUUGGCAAUGUAACUAAACUCUCUGUUGACGAUAUUUUUGUGUGUAUUUUAAUUACAAAAACACUCGUCAAGUUUCAGAAAAAAACAAGUUAGAAUAGAGAUUUUAUGCGAUCUUUACUUUUCACUUAAGUGAAUAGUAAUCGGCAUUUCGUUCGGUAGCGUACGCGUAAUAUUGGCUUUGGAUACGAAUCGGGCACCGUUUCGAUCGAUCCAAUAGGUCGUUUUCAAUGGUCCAGCAGUGCCAGGAGUCUUGGUGAAGUCGGAUUUUGGAUUCUGCAAUCCGAGUGCGGAGAAUUGGCAGAUUUUAAUAAUUUAGCAAUGCGCAACUUGGGUUUUGAAAGGGAAAACCUAUUAUUUUAUGUAUGGAUCUGAAUGGGGCUGAUUGUGGAGGUGCUUCUAUGUGAUUUACGCCUCAUGUGGAGGACUCGUCAUGAAAAAUUGGAAAAAGGCUGGACUUGCGCGCAAUGUUAGAAAAUAUGCGGUACCUGAUGCCAUGGUGAAAAUAUAAUUGAGGAUCGUCCUAGACACCUUGAUCUCGUUUACGAGUACCUCUCGAUCCUGUAUCUUGAUCAACUCCUAUGGUACUCUUUCAAAUGACCGGAACGCAAUUAUGUAAUUGCAAUGUCUAUUCCUCUUACAAUGGUGAAAUUAUGAUGGGUUUACAAGCUUGUAUUUUUCACACAAUCAAAAGAGAAAAGGACCAUCCUAUAUGUAUGCCAUUAAUCCUCCUUUCCCAUCAUGAGGAUAACUACCAAGUAGUGGAAGGGGAUAACUACCAACUAGUGAGAUAGUGGAUCCAACUCCCCAUAACCAUUCCCACUAUUUUUCAUAAUCAACUUAAUGGAGCGGGUAACAAUACUAACUCCAUCUAAUAGGUUGCAGGUCGGUCAAAUAGGGCCAUACCGAAAUGGGUCAUAUGACUUAAGUCUAACACGCAAAACUCCAUUUUUGCAUACAUGAAAACUUGGCGACUAGAUUUCUUUAUUCUCACUAACCUUAGCCGCCUCCAACCUCUCCCCCUGCCGCAGCCCCCUCUCCAUUGCAGCCGUAACCCAUUCCCCUUGCCGCCGGUUGGCCAUCCUACACGCCGGAGCAGCGUUGAGGAAAAACCCAUACCCUCUCCCUCCCCCUCACGCGAUCUUUGAUUCGAACCACCUUCUCCCCUUCUUUUCUCUCUCGGAUUGGGAGUUGGAGGAGUAGAGGAUCCCCCUCAGCCUUUGCUUCAUCCCUAGUGCAGUCCCUUCAAACUUUGGACCAACCUUGCCGCGGUUUGCAUUGGCUCGGGUCUAACCUUGAGGGCUGGUCGCAGCAGUUAAGGCGCAGCACCGACUGUGUUUGGACGUAGCCAAAUCCUCCCUCUGGACCUCCCCAACCUGCUGCAACCUUCCCACUUAGCCUAUUUGACAUGACCACAACUUAUAAGUAAAAUAAUAUACAUAUAUAUUUAUAUUUAAAUAAAUUAUGGAUGGGAUUAGAAAGUUCAUAAAUCCAAAUGUGGUACCACUUUAAAAUAUUCACUCCAACAGUUAUGAAAACUUUAUACUUUGUCCCAAGUAUUAAUAGUAUGAGUCAUAGCGGCAAAUACCUAAAAUAGUGAGUACGACCUUCCAUGCACCACAAUACUAUCAACAUCUUGUGCGUAGUAUUUUAUUGUGGAAAACUUUAUGAAUAGAAUAAUCUCAAACAUAUUCAAUAGUCCAAAAUAUUAAAAUAGAUAAUCAUAAAAAACUGAAUGUGAUCACAUAAAUAUCAUAAUAUAAAUCACUUACACAGAAAAUAAACCGUUGAGACCCAUAUUCUUUACAUAUACUACAUACAACCCUGGUGCUAGCCCUUUGGUAAAUGGAUUUGCAAGCAUAUACUGUGUUCCAACAUGAUCUACAGAUAUUAUAUGAUUAUCAACUUGCUCAUUAAUCAUAUAGAGCUUUAUAUCCAGAUAUCGGCAUGAACUAGAGCUUUUGCUGCUGUUGGCAAAAGAAACAGCAGAUUCAUUAUCACAGUAUAUCUGCAGUGGUUUUUCUAUAGAGUCCAUGAUUUUAAGGCCGGUAAUAAAGUUCUUUAGCCAAAUAGCCUGUGAUGAAGGUGAGCUUGCUAUAAGCUCAGCUUCCAUUGUGGAUGACGCAGUUGUCUUUUGUUUAACACUUCUCUAUGUAAUGGCACCCCCUUCAAGUAGGAAGAUAAGACCAGUUAUCGAUUUCCUACUAUCUGGGCACCCCACAAAAUCUGCAUCUGAGUAACCUACAACCUCGAGAUGGUCAGACCUCCGAUAUGUGAGCAUGUAAUCUCGCGUUCCUUAAAGAUAACGCAUGACCUUUUUGGUAGCCUUCCAAUGUUCUAUAUCGGGGUUGCUUUGAGAACGACCAAGUAAUCCAACAACAUAGGAAAUGUCUAGACGAGUACACGUGUGAGCAUAUUGCAGGCUCCCAACACUACAACAAAAUAUAUUUUAGACGACGUUUUUUAUACGACGCUUUAUUCUAGCGUCUUUACAACAUCCGUAGAAGGACACAUGAAUGAUUCCCCUUCGAUCUCAAAUCGACGACGGGGAACACCUCCACGUUUACUUCUUCGUAAUGAUGGACUUUGUGAGCCAUGGUCAAUCGGCACACUCCCACUGACCAUAGGAUCACUCCCACUGUUUUGGGCUAUAUCAUCAUGUGGCCUCAGUGCCUCAUUCUCGCCUAACAAUAGGACAUUUUCAUUAGGUUCUUGCAACUCGUAUAGUGCAAGAUCCUUUUUAAUCUCACCAAUGUCUGGAAAAUCAUUCUCAAGAAAAUUCACAUCGCGUGACUCUAUCUCAGUCAUUCCUCCAUCAGGAUGCUUGCCAUACAUCACAUAGCCUUUCGAGCAAUCAGAAUAUCUAAUAAAAAUUUGUUUAUUUGCUCUAGGGCCUAACUUUCCAUAUUUAUGAGAAGUAUUAUGCAUAUAUCCUGCCGAUCCCCAUGGUCGUAAGCCUUCCAAAUUUGGCUUUAUACCAUGCCAUAGUUCAUAGGGAGUUGAAGGAACUGACUUAGAGGGCACUCGGUUAAGUAUAUAGGCAGCAGUCAACAACGCAUCACCCCAAAAACUAAUUGGAAGGUUGGCUUGCGCCAUCGUAAACCUAACCAUUUCCAAAAGUGUCCUAUUCCUCCUCUCUGCAACACCAUUUUGUUGCGGAGUACCGAAAAUUGUUAACUGUCUGCGUAUUCCCUUUUCCUCACAUGGUUCCCUGAACUGGUCUAAUAAAUACUCUCGUCCUCUAUCAGUACGAAGAACUUUUAGAGUUCUUUCUGUUUGGUUCUCAACCUCCAUUAAGAAGCAUUUAAAAUAAUCCAAAGCUUCUGAACGGUGAGACAACAGAUAUAACGAACUAUAACGGGAGUAGUCAUCAAUGAAAGUGAGGAAAUAGUACGCGCUAUGAGGUGUUCUCACAUUCAUAGGUCCGCCUAUGUCUGAAUGAACUAGCUUCAAUGGAUGAGUUGCUCUACCUACCUUACACUACUAGAAAAUUAGUUAUUAGUAGCAUUUAUUUAUGCUGCUAAAUGAUCAACAAAUGCUGCUAAAAGUUUUAACAGCAUAUGACACCAAAUGCUACCUAUGUCAAUAUUGCUAAAAGUAUUAGAAGCAUUAAUUAUAAAUGCCGCCAAUAUAAAUCAAUUAGUGUUAUUAGGAAUAUGCCGCUAAAAGGGAUUAAAUGCCAAUUUUAAAUUGUUUAUUAGCGGCAUAUAAAUAUAAUGCCGCUAAUACAAAUAUCUGAUUUUAGAAAUUAAAAUUUUAAAAUUUUAAUUUUUUUGAGAUGCUACCAGUUUUAUUUAUUUCUUUUUGUCUUAAACUUUGCUUGAAAUGUGAAUCAACUAGGAUUCGAACUUGAGACCUCGAGUACCAACAACCAAGCACUUUGCCACUUGCGCUAACGGCUAUUAGUUAUAUAUAUUUUUAUUUUUUAUAUUUUAAGUAUUCUAUUUUAAAAUUUUAAAUUUAGAUACUAAAUUUAAAUUUUUAAUUUUGAAAUAUGAAAUUUUAAGUUUCAAAAUUAAUAGUUUUAAAUUUAAAAUUUGAAAUUUAAAAUAAAUUUAAAAAUUUCAACUUUAAAAAUUAAUAAUUUUAGAAUUUAAAAUUUAAAAUAUAAAUUUUAGAAUUUUAAAAUUUAAAUUAUAAGUUUAAUUUUAAAAAUUAUAUGUUUCAAAUUUUAAAAUUUAAUUUUAAAAUUUUUAAUUCUAAAUAAAAAAGGGAUAUAUUAAUAANAUAGGAAAGUGAUAUACAUCUGCUAUAGAACAACCGGCCUUUAUUAUAUCUCAAUUAUUAGUGGUGUGUCUUCACCAACAGGAGAUGAAAACUCGAUUUCCUGUACCCUGUUUGCCUAACACAUAACCCUCAGUUCUAGGUAUCCCUAGCUAGAGUUUUUAAGAAUUCAAACAGAGUUCUCUGAAUGUAAAAAAGAAAACUUUUUUCAUCCCUUUUAACAUACACGCAAUGGCCUUCUUCGAUCAUCACAAAGCCUAUUGAAAUAAUUGCUCUAUGAAAACGUUGAUACUAUUGCCUAGACGAUUGUUUCAAACCGUAAAUAGAACGUUUUAAGCGGCACACUUUGCGCUCUUGUCCUUCGGCUAUGAAACCAAGAGGUUGAUUCAUAUAAAUCUCCUCGUCUAGUUCUCCAUUGAGAAAUGCAGUCUUCAUAUCCAUUUGGAACAAUUCCAAAUCUAAAUAUGCGACGAUAGCCAGAAUCAGGUGAAUUGAGGCAAACCUCACCACUGGGGAGAAUGUCUCUUCAUAGUCUACUCCCUCAUUUUGGGUGUAUCCUUUCGCCACUAGUGAGGCCUUACAUUUAUCAAUUGAUCCAUCCGCCUUCCGUUUUAUUUUAAAAAUCCAUUUAUUUCCAAUAGUUUUACGUCCAGACGGAAGAUCAACUAACUCCCACACAUUGUUCUUAGCCAUAGAACUCACCUCAUCCUCCAUAGCAGCUAGCCAUUUAUCACAAACUGGUGAAUUCAAAGCUUCAGCAUAAGAAGCCGGCUCAUCAACAUCCGUAGAAGCACACAUGAACGAUUCCCCUUCAAUCUCAAAUCGACGACGGGGAACACCUCCACGUUUGUUUCUUCGUAAUGAUGGACUUUGUGAGCCCUAGUCAAUCGGCACACUCCCACUGACCAUAGGAUCACUCCUACUGUUUUGGGCUAUAUCAUCAUGUGGCCUCAGUGCCUCAUUCUUGCCUAACAAUGGGGCAUUUCCAUUAGAUUCUUGCAACUCGUAUAGUGCAAGGUCAUUUUUAAUCUCACUAAUGUUUGGAAAAUCAUUCUCAAGAAAAUCCACAUCACGGGACUCUAUCUUAGUCAUUCCUCCAUGCCAUACAUCACAUAGCCUUUCGAGCAAUUAAAAUAUCUAAUAAAAAUUUGUUUAUUUGCUCUAGGGCAUAACUUCCCAUGUUUAUGAGAAGUAUUAUGCACAUAUCCUGCCGAUCCCCAUGGUCGUAAGCCUUCCAAAUUUGGCUUUAUACCAUGCCAUAGCUCAUAGGGAGUUGAAGGAACUAACUUAGAGGGCACUCGGUUAAGUAUAUAGGCAGCAGUCAACAACGCAUUGUCCUAAAAACUAAUUGGGAGGUUGGCUUGCGCCGUCAUAGACCUAACCAUUUCCAAAAGUGUCCUAUUCCUCAUCUCUGCAACACCAUUUUGUUGCGGAGUACCAAAAAUUGUUAACUGUCUGCGUAUUCCCUUUUCCUCACAUAGUUCCCUGAACUGGUCUAAUAAAUACUCUCGUCCUCUAUCAGUACGAAGAACUUUUAGAGUUCUUUCUGUUUGGUUCUCAACCUCCAUUAAGAAGCGUUUAAAAUAAUCCAAAGCUUCUGAACGGUGAGACAACAGAUAUAACGAACUAUAAUGGGAGUAGUCAUCAAUGAAAGUGAGGAAAUAGUACGCGCCAUGACGUGUUCUCACAUUCAUAGGUCCGCCUAUGUCUGAAUGAACUAGCUCCAAUAGAUGAGUUGCUCUAUCUGCCUUACACUACUAGAAAAUUAGUUAUUAGUAGUAUUUAUUUAUGCUGCUAAAUGAUCAACAAAUGCUGCUAAAAGUUUUAGCAGCAUAUGACACCAAAUGCUACCUAUGUCAAUGUUACUAAAAGUAUUAAAAGCAUUAAUUAUAAAUGCCGCCAAUAUAAAUCAAUUAGUGUCAUUAGGAAUAUGCCGCUAAAAGGGAUUAAAUGCCAAUUU
rnacentral:lncRNA from 1 species